rnacentral:lncRNA from 1 species
CCAAAACAUGUAACAAAAUCAAAUAAAGCCAAAUAUAAAAAUUUGUCUAAGCUCGAAUUCUGAACUCUCAGCCAAAAGGUUUGGGCUCUUGUUCCCAGUAGAGUCGCCAGAGUUGUCACACCUCCUUUUUUCUACCACCGGAAAGGUGUAAAGGAGUUUUUCCAAUUAAAGGACAAUCGAAACGGGAUUCAUUUAUAUUAAGAAAUUUAGAGUCUCCACCUGGGAGAUUUAUGGUGUCCCAAGUCAUCGGUUUCAAUCUCGAAUCGAGGAAAAGAUUGACUCUAUAUUACAGUCCGCGAACUAGAAAUCUAGGUAAGGAAUUUUGUUAACUCGGGAGAAGGUGUUAGGCAUUCCCAGAUUCGGUGGUUCUAGCACGGUUGCUCAACUGGUAUAUUCGGCUUAAUUAUAUGAUUUAAAAACAUUUUAGACCUAUGUUAAAUUUUAACUUUUAAUCAUUUUAAAGAGGAUUUAACGUCGUCUAAAAUAUGUCUUUGGAUCGGGCCACAUAAAAUGCAUCUGCAAUCCAGAACAUAUUUUAUUCAACAUUAUUGGAAUUUGGAUUUGGGUCACAUGAAAUGCACACCCAAGUUUAGGAAGGUAAUAUUAUUAAAAUACGCGCCUAAUGAAACUAUGCGUUUUAGCUUUGUGAGGGCCAUAAAAUUUUGCUAAAUAGCAUGCCUCGAAUUCUAAGGUUAAGUUAAUGCUAAUUAGAAUGAGGGCCACGCAAUUGUCAUUUUUGUUCGGCAUCGCGUUCUUCGACUAUUUAAAGAAGCUUAGUAAAAGAAAGGAAAACCUAAUAAUUUCCAAUGGAUUUUAUUGAAGUUCAAACUAAAGAAGGUAGUAAUUUCAAAGGUAAAGCUCAUUUCUCUAUUGUAUUUUAAUUGCUGGUGAGUCCAGUUAUUGUUUCAAUCCUGAGCCCAAGGGAGCCCAAUGUUAGGUUACUAACGUGAGGCCCAGGCAUAUUAAAAACUUCAAGUCCUUCCAAUUUUAAAACAAAUCCAAAUAUUGCACUUCAAAACCCAACUACUGGCCCAACUCAGUUCCCAAAUGAACUACUGAUUUAAACAGCAAAGGCUGCCUAGUUUUGGACUCAGCGUAAGCCUAGCAGCAUAAUAUAGUUGUCUCAUUUAAUAAUAACUAAGGCCAAACGUACUUGCCCAGUUGAUGAGACAGGUUAUUGAAACCGAAAUCCACAAAAACCCAAAUCAUAAGCCAAGCACCCAAAGAGAAAACGGGCUCACCCAAAGCCCAAAAGAACUAUCGUCACAAUACAACACUACACAUUAGAAUUGUUUGGACACACACUAUAGCCCAACUUUUGAUUCAACAUACACAAACAACUGCAACCAUAAUGCUUUAAAAUAUUUCAGAAAAAUUAAAACUAAAUUGAUUAUCCUUAAGCAUGAUCGAAAUAUGCUUUAAUGUCAAACUGUAUUAAUAGAAGAUAUAUAAUUCUAUUCAUUCACUAUCCUCUUGUUACUCAAAAUUCAACAUUAUUCCCAACCUUCCACAACUUUGCAUGGUUUCGGUGAUUUCCAGAACACCUGCUAACAUAGAUUCCGGUUGAAAAUUCAACGCCCUAACAUAUACUUGCUAUUUCAGUAAGUAUGAAUCAGCAGUAAUCCAUGCUAAAAAACAUACUAUAUUAAAUAUCAGCACCAUUCAUUCAUUAAUACACUGCCAAAGUGUUAAACAACCUAUACCAUUCUUUAACUAAAUAAAAAGAUAACUGAGUAAACAAAAUGUUUCAGUACAGACCCUUUUAACUUAAGCUAUACAAUGAUAAUUGAGAUCUACGUAAGGACAUGCUCUAACACAGAAUUCAGCAAGUUGAAGAUCGUGUUAACUAACAUGGUCAGUCCAAAUCUCAACUAAGCACAUGUCAAUUAGAAGGGGAAAAUACAGGAAAACAGAGGGGAAUACAACUUUAAACUAAUAAUAUAACAUUCAGACACCUAGAACUCCAGCUUUCAUUUCUCAAUCUCCAAUCAAAUAGCACAUUAUGUGAGUUUCAGGAAUGUGUACCUGGAACAACCAAAAUAAGUACAAAACUCAGCAAUUAAAUGGUAGAUUCAGCAGUAAUUAAUCAGCAAAGCAACCAGUAAACUCAGCUUCACAGAAGCAGUGAUGUGCAGCAACCCAGUUCAAUGAGCCCAGCAGAAUUUAAGAUGAUUUUUCAGACCAACUUCAAACCAUUUUAUGGUAAAAGGUGAAAUUUUUUUCUUCAGGAAUUUGAGAAGAAAUCAUAAUUACUCCAGAUCUAAUGAAACAGUAAAAUCUAUAUUUCUGUCUAUCAAGUAGAGUGUUCAACCCCUAAAAAUAAAAGGGAAAGGGUCCUUAUAUAGGUACACCUAGAGCAGCCCAGACCUGUCUAAAUAAUACCCCUUUUACCCCUAUUUUCGAUUAUUUUACCCCCUUUACCCCUCUAAAGCCUUCUUCCUAACAGAAAUGAUUCCCUUUCAACCUGAAAUCCUUAAAUUAACCUUUGCCCAAAUAAGUUAUUACAGCCCCUUCACCUUCCUUUAAGCCCCUGAAGUUUUCCUAUUAUGCAAUUAAGCCCCUAAGAGUUCCUACUAAUUAUCAAACUACGACAAAUAAAAAAAUUCGGAAUCAAAGAAACAAUGAAGAUCAAGCAAACAAAUAUUGAUUCACUUUAAACAUGUAACUAAAUAUGCAUCUAUUUAUCAAUGAACUUGAAAUCAAUAUGACACACACAUGAAUACUUGAAUCUAUUAUGAAUUCAGAAUUCCUAACAAGAAACUAAUAUGCAUAAUUUGGAUUAACUGGACACAACUCUAAUAAACCCUAAAUACUAACAUGUCGCCAUUUGAAUUUUCCUGGUGAACAAAUAACUAUGCAGAAUCAUCCUAUGAACUACCAUAAAUAAAAAUAAAAAAUGCUAAUGACUAAACAUACGGCCAGAUCAACAAUAUCAUGCAGAAAAAAAAACCAAACAAGGAAAGAAAAAAGAAAAUUACUUGUACUAUCCCUUUCAAUACUAGAAUUUCUCACCCAAUCCACCAAGCAAAAGAAGGAACUCGACCUACUGUUAAUCGUCUGUUCUUAAUAAGAAUUGUCGAUUAACGAAUGUUUUGAGUUCACUCAAACAUCACAUGACCCAAAAGGACGCAAAGGAAAAAUAGGAAUUAGGGCCCACAUUUCAAAUUCGAGAUUUGAACCAUUUGGGGGUGUUUUUGAGGAAAUUGGUGAUAGAAGUGGGAAAAGGAAUUGAAUGAGGUCCUAGGGUGUGAAUUUGGGGCAGUUUGGUGGUGUCACCACCGGAGAAAAUGUUGCGGCGCUAGGGUUCAUGAUUUCAAACGAAAAUACAAGGAGCUUGAGUGUUUUGAGGGAAGCUGGGUAGGGAUUUGAGAUGAGUAGGAAAAGGGGAAACUGUGGUGUUAAUUUCUCGGUGAUUAACAGCUAGCCGCAGCCGUAGACGAUUUUCGGUGGGCAGCAAGUGGUAGCUCAAGGGAGGGUGAGAGAUGAUUUGUUGGGGGGUUUCUAGCAGAGUGGGGUAGGGCGUUAGGACAGUUAUAUAUUAGGGACACCCCACUUCUGAGCCGUUAGAUGGAUUAACCUCGAUGACUUAGAUCUAUCCUAAGAGAAACGGGGUUAUUUGGUCGAUGGUGAGGAUGGACCGGGUUAGGGGUGGAUUUGGGCUGGACUUACCGGGUUUAGGGGUGUAUUUUAAUUUGGGCUAAACCAAAUUGGUCCAAAAUCAGUCUUUCUUCUAAUUCCUUUCUUUUUCUUUUCAAUUAUUGUUUUUUUUCUUUUUCCAAAUUAAUUUACAUCCUAAAUUAACUUAACUAAAUUAAUUUCCCAAAUAAAACUAAUUACUCAUCAUAGUAUUUGAAAAAAUUAAUUAAUUCCCAAAUUAAAAGAAACUACAAAAUUUAAAGUUAAAAAUGCAAAGUGAGUUAUUUUUGUGAUUUUCAUUUUAAAAAAUAACCUAAUUACUAAUUAAUUCUUAAUAUGCACAACUAACUCCCAAAUGCUCAUGUGACUCAUUAUUUGUAUUAUUUCCUAAUUAAAAUGCACAGACAAAAAUGCACACAAUUAACAAAAAAUGCCACAAAAAUCUACAAAAUUGCAAACAAUGAAAGAAAUUAUUUUGCUUUGAAUUUAUAGGAGUAUUUUAUAUAGGAAAAAAAUCACGUGCUCAUAAAGGCCGAAUUUCUACCUAUAGCUUGAGCACCGAGGUACUGAUUGUGUAAGCACGUGUUUUUGAACUUAUAUGUUCGGUAGUCCCUAUUAGUAGAAGUGAUGGAUGAAUGGCUAUGCGAUGAGUAUGUUAUGACUGCGAGAUGAAUUCAUUUGAUUUGGAAGCGACCAAAAGGGUUUGCUGGAGGAUGGAAGAACUAGUUGGUACUUGAUGUUUAUCUUGAUUUGAGAUAAAGCCCCGAGCUAUGGGCGUGUAAUGAAUCUUUUAAUGCUUCCUAGUUGGGAGUGAAGUAAAUUUCAUGUGGCGGCAUGAGUUCAGACUCAGGCAGAGUAAGUAACUGCCUAAUGUUUAUGACGGCGGAAGGUAUACAAAAAUGUUAGUUGGAGGAAAAGCAAGUGGGCUAUCUCAUGCGGAGUAUUAUGAGGUUGUGUAAUCCUUAUGUUGUCUAUUAGGAGAUCUCAUUUACAAGUGUAAUAUAUGUGUUGAAAUUUAAAUUUGGGUCACUUAAGAGAGUGGGUUCAACUAUCACGAGAGUGAAUGCAAGAUUUGCAUAAGAUUCUGAAGUACCCAAUGGUCUGUGAUUCACGAGCUUAUGUGCUACGUCAGUUCCUAUUUGAGGCGUACUGGUGAAUCAAUUAUGGCUUAUGGAUAUUGAGACCGAGGAUGGCUCGAGUAGAGGAAAAUAUUGGCAAAGGUUAUAUUAUGCUUCAUAUGUGUAUAAGAAUCACGGAAUUUGUUAAGUUGUUGUUGGUAAAGGAUGAUCAGUGCAUAGGGCAAAAAGUUCAGUGGUUGCUCUAGGAUGAGGUAACACUUUGCAGUGUUAAAGUGCAAUUGAGGCACGGGUAGUUCUAUUUGUUUGAUCAGGAUAAUUGCAGUUUGAGUAUAGUGAAUGACUCUUGAGAAUGGUUCUCAUGCGUUCGAAUAAAUGGGAUAGCUUGGUACUAGGCCGAGUUGGUAGGGUAAGGAUAGGAUUGGUUCUUUUGAUUCUUACGAGGUAAUGGGUUUCUACAGGUGUUUCACGGAAAUUCUUUUGGAUUUUAGUGACAUGCGUAGAUUUUGAUUCUUACGAGGUGAUGGGUUUCUACAGGUGUUUCACGGAAAUUCUUUUGGAUUUUAGUGACAUGCGUAGCUUGGUUGAUUUAAAAGGAUUCAGUCCUAACGAUUUAGAUUUGCGCAAAUGGAAUUCGAAGAGUUCAAGAUGGUUUCCUCCACGGAUAGCGAGGUAUAUUUUUCCUUUUGGCGUGAGGAGCAUGGAUGAGUAGUGGUUCUCUUCUAGACGGGAUCAAUGGAGAGUUCUUGGUUAGUUGGGUAAAUAGUUGUUUGUGGCUCAGAAGGGAUAUGAAGUUCUUAUAUUAUCCUAGGAUGGUAUGGUAUAUGCGGUAUGUUGUGGAGGAUUGAGAAUUUGCAUGUGUAAGGCUACAGUUAAGUUUUGAAAUGAAGGUCAUAAAAUUCAUAGGCAGCACUGGCAAUUUCAGAUGACUAAGAAAAUGGUAUCACUGAUUGGUGUGGCUUGAUGAGGGUAUACAUUUCAGAUAGCACGAUGUGUUUGAGUUAUGGAUGCUUUAUUGGUCUUGCGACACUAUCUCGUGUGAUUGAUUGAUGGUAUUCGAGUUGGCUUAGUGGCAUAGUACAAUUAUAGGUGUACCUCUCAUGGGAUGAUUGAGAAUUAGAGGUGUGUUGUAUAUUUGAGAGGCAAAAUUGGGAUUACAUAUGGUAACUCAUAUGCUUUAUGGAUUGGUUUCCUUAAAGUUCUCAUAAACAGGUUAGCUCGUGGUUGUGGACGGUAAAGAUGUGGGUAAGUAAUCAGAUGAUAUCAUGUGCUACGGUUCAGUCAUUGUGAACCCUCUAAGGGUUAUUUAUUUGUUGUGUGUGACUAGAGUUGAUGUGUGGUUCAUUUGUAAACCUAUAUGGAUGUGUUUUUUGCAUUGAGACGACUUUGUUGACUUCGAGUUGCUAUUGGUGAGGUAUGUGUUGAUUCGGUUGUUAUUGAGCUAUUAGUAAUAAGGGGAAUCUAUGAGUUAUAUUUCCGGAUUGCGAGACGUUAGGAUUUGUAGGUUAUAGGCACAUAUGGUGCGGUGUUAUUGGAGCCUCCCAGUGGAAUUCGAGUGGGACGAGUACUGGGCAUUGAUCAGUGGAUGGUGUGUUUUUUAUGUCCUUUCGAGUUGUGUGGUGCUAUUUAAUUUCUUCGCGGUGGUUAUGAUGAUCGCUUCGGUUUUAGACAUCAUAUUGCGUACGGUUGUCGAUUUUAAGUGUAGUAUUUGGAUGAGGUCGCGCAUUGGAGUGAAGCUAUAUGGAGUUAUGACCAUGCGAGUUAGAUUCAGGUGUCAUGCUUCUAUGAUGUUUGACGGAUUCUUAGUAUUGUGUUGUCGUGGUACCUGUGAGCUUGCGGUAUAGCUCUUUCAUUUGAGUAAUUUUCAUGAUUUAGGUAUGUUCUGAAUGUUGCUUAUCGGUAUGCGGAUUGCACAAGUUGUGGCUUUAGUCUGUAUCGAUGUGUCAUAUCCCAGAGUAGUUAUGUUGGAUUAGAUGAGAACUUUGGAAUCUUUAAUGAAUGCAAAUGGAUUCUAUUUCAGCAUGUUGGAAGCAUAAUAUCGAGGUUCGGCUCAGGAAUUUUCUAUAGUCGUUGCUAAAGGAGAAGUGGCUUCAUGAAUGGUGUAUCUAGGAAACGGCUAUGGCUUACUAUGUGUUUUAUUUAUCGUUGGCAUUAUAUAAAAGUGUUGUAAUUAGAUCUUAGUUGAUUAGAGGUUUCUAUCGGUAUUCGGUUAUUGUGUGCAGUUAUUGUGAUUAGAAGUUAUCGCUGCAAGCAUCGAGUUAUGUGGUAUAUCAUGUAGUUGCACCGAAGUUGUGGAUAUGGGUCAUUACAGCUUGUUCGGGCUUACUCAUAUUAUAUAUGUGAGAUUUUGAUCUUGUGGAUGAUUUCAGAAGUGGCAAUAUGGUUCUAAGGUUCAUGGGCUAGGUUGGAGUGUAAAAUUUCAGUUACAUUGUAUUAUCGGAACUAUAUGAGAUAGGGUGACAUGGUAUCACCCUUGGGUUUAUGCAUGGUAAGGUCAUUCAACGAUUGGUUCGCUUCGGGAACAACUCUGGGCACGUUCGAGGACGAACGUAUGUUAAAGUGGGGGAGGAUGUAACGAUCCGACCAAUUGUUUUGAGCGUUUACACUUUGCUCGCCAGUUCUCGGGCAUGGCUUGUCUCGUGUGAUAUAUUACGACUUAAGUUAAUCAUUGGUUUAGGUUUUCAGGAUAAUCGGAAUGAAUUUGGAAGAACAGUUCUCACUUUGAUGCUUGAAAUAUGAAAGGUUUGACCAAUAUUUGACUUGUUUGUAUAUGAUCUCGGAUCAGACUUUUUAUGAUUUGGUUAGUUCCGUUAGGUGAUUUGGGACUUAAGAGUGUGAUCGGAAUGCAUUUUGGAAGUCUGUGGAUUGUUUAGGCUUGAAUUGGCGAAAUUGAGAUAUUGGUAUUUUUCGGUUGAUAGGUGAGAUUUUGAUAUAUGGGUCGAAAUGAAAUUCCAAAAGUUUUAGUAGCUCCGUUGUGUCAUUUGUGACAUGUGUGUAAAAUUUCAGGUCAUUCGGACGUGGUUUGGUUUGGUUAUUGAUCAAAAGGCAAUUUGGAAGUUCUUGAAAUUCUUAAGCUUGAAUCCGAUGUGAUUUUGGUUUUUUGUUUUUGUUUUGAGCGAUCCGAAGGUUGAAACAAGUUUGAAUGAGGUUAUGGGAUAUGUUGGCAUGUUUGUUUGAGGUCUCGAGGGCUUCGGGUGAGUGUCGUAUGGUUGAAGAAAUCAAUUUUGGACUUUGGACUUGGCAGUUUUUGCUGGUUUUGUGUUGCAGACAAUUUGUUUUACGCGAUUUUCGCGAGGAUGAGAACGCAAACACGAAGGUGGAGGAUUCAUGUGCACUGCGGACUCGAUACUGGGGUCGCGUUCACGGAGAGGAUUGAGGUCGUUGGGCACCCUAGGCCUAUGGGUUAUGCAUUCGCGAGAGUUGGGCCACGUUCGCAAAAGCUUGGUAAGAUGAAGCAUCGCAUUCGCGUGGAAAUUGUCCGUGUUCGCGAAGGGAAAAAUGGAGAGGCGGUGAAUUUGGUCUAUGCGAACGCGAGAGGCCGGUCGCGUUCGCGAAGAAGGUAAUUUUACCUGGAGCAAAAUGUUUUAAAAGUGAGUUUCGUGAUUUUUAGUCUAUUUUCUCCAUUGUUGAGCAAUUAUUGGAGCUUUUGAGAAGGACUAAAGAGGGAAUCGUAGGGAAACACCUGGAGGUAAGAUUUUUGAACUCUAUUCUCGAUCAUAUGCUGAUUCAUGCUUGUUUAAUCAUGGAAUAUGUGGAAAUUAAAGCCUCAAAUUGGGGAAUUAGGGCUUGAAUUUGGACUGUAAAUUGAGAAUUUGAGGGGGAAUUGAGGUCCGAUUUUCAUGUUCUUGGUAUAUAUUGACUCGUGAGAGGGUGAGGAUCCUAUUGAUGUUAAUUUCGUCGGAUUCCAAUGGUCUGUGUUUCACGAGCUUAUGUGCUAUGUUAGUUCCUAUUUGAGGCGUACUGGUGAAUCAGUUAUGGCUUAUGGAUAUUGAGACCGAGGAUGGCUCGAGUAGAGGAAAAUUUUGGCAAAGGUUAUAUUAUGCUUCAUAGGUGUAUAAGAAUCACGGAAUAUCUUGAGUUGUUGUUGGUAAAGGAUGACCGGUGCAUAGGGCAUAAAGUUCAGUGGUUGCUCUUGGAUGAGGUUACACUUUGUGGUGUUGGAGUGCUAUUGAGGCACGGGUAGUUCUAUUUGUUUGAUCAGGCUAAUUGCAGUUUGAGUAUAGUGAAUGACUCUUGAGAAUGGUUCUCAUGCGUUCGAAUAAAUGGGAUAGCUUGGUACUAGGCCGAGUUGGUAGGGUAAGGAUAGGAUUGGUUCUUUUGAUUCUUACGAGGUAAUGGGUUUCUACAGGUGAAAUACAUGUGUUUCAAGGUAAUUCUUUUGGAUUUUAGUGACAUGCGUAGCUUGGUUGAGUUAAAAGGAUUCAGUCCUAACGAAUUAGAUUUGCGCAAAUGGAAUUCGAAGAGUUCUAGAUGGUUUCCUCCACAAUUAGCGAUGUAUAUUUUUCCUAUUGGCGUGAGGAGCAUGGAUGAGUAGUGGUUCUCUUCUAGACGGGAGCAAUGGAGAGUUCUUGGUUAGUUGGGUAAAUAGUUGUUUGUGGCUCAGAAGGGAUAUGAACUUCUCAUGUUAUCCUAGGAUUGUAUGGUAUAUGUGGUAUGUCAUGGAGGAUUGAGAAUUCGCGUGUGUAAGGCUAUAGUUCAGUUUUGAAAUGAAGGUCAUAAAAUUCUUAGGCAGCAUUGGCAGUUUCAGAUGAUUAAGGAAAUGGUAUCACUGAUUGGUGUUGCUUGAUGAGGAUGUACAUUUCAGAUAGGGCGACGUGUUUGAGUUAUGGAUUCUUUAUUGGUCUUGUAACACAAUAUUGUCUAAUCGAUUAAUGGUAUUUGAGUUGGCUUGGUGGCACAGAAGAAUUAUAGGUGUACCUCUCAUGGGAUGAUUGAGUAUUAGAGUUCUGUUUUAUAUUCGAGCGGCAAAAUUAGGAUCAGAUAUGGUAAUUCGUAUGCUUUAUGGAUUGGGAUAUUGAGAGUUCUCAUAAACAGGUUAGCUCGUGGUUGUGGACGGUAAAGAUUUGGGUAAGUAUUCAGAUGAUAGCAUGUGCUAUGAUUCAGUCAUUGUGAACAUUCGAAGGGUUAUUUAUAUGUUGUGUGUGACUAGAGUUGAUGUGUGGUUCAUUGGUAGACCUAAGUGGAUCCGUAUUUUGCAUUGGGACGGCUUUGUUGACUUCGAGUUGCUAUUGGUGAGGGAUGUGUUGAUUUAGUUAAUAUUGAGCAAUUAGUAAUCAGGCAGAACUAUGAGUUAUCUUUCCGGAUUGCGAGACAUUAGGAUUUUGUUUGUUAUAGGCACAUAUGGUGCGGAGUUAUUGGAACCUUCCUGUGGAAUUCGAGCGGGACGAGUACUGGGUAUUGCUUGGUGGAUGGUGUAUCGAUUAUGUCCGUUCGAGUUGUCUGGUGUUAUGUAAUUUCUUCGCUGUGGUUAUGAUGAUCGCUUCAAUUUUAGACAUUAUAUUGUGUAUGGUUGUUGAUUUUGAGUGUAGUGACUUAAGGUGUUUCAUGUGAACUAGCAUUUGGAUGAGGUCACGCAUUUGAGCGAAACAAUGUGGAGGUAUGACCCUGCAGGUUUGAUUCCAGUAUCCUAUUUCUAUGAUGUGUGACGAAUUCUCAGUAAUACGUUGUGGUGGUACUGGUGAGGUUGCAGUACAGCUCUUUCAUUUGAGUCAUUUUCAUGACUUAUGUAUGUACGGAUUGUUGCUUAUUGGUGUGUGGAUUACAGAAGUCGUGGCAUUAGUCUGUAUCGAUGUGUCAUGUCACUAGAGUAGUUGUGUUGAUUAGAUGAGAUCGUUGGGAUCUUCAAUGAAUACAAAUGGAUUUGAUUUCAGCAUGUUGGAAAGAUAAUAUCGAGGUUUGACUUAGGAUUUUCUAUGGUCCUUGCCAAAGGCGAAGUGGCUUCAUGAAUGGUUGAACUGGGAAACGGCUAUGGCUUACUGCAUGUUUUAUUUAUCAUUGGCAGUAUGUGAAAGUAUUUGAAUUAGUUUUAGUUAAUAAGACGUUUAUAUCGGUGUUUAGUUAUUGUGUGUAGCUGCUGUGGUUAUAAGUUAUCGCUGCAAGCGUCGAGUUAUGUGGUAUAUCAUGUAAUUGCACCCAUUUUGCGAUUAUAGGUUAUUAUAGCUUGUUUGUGCUUAUACAGAGCAUAGAUAUGAGAUUUUGAUCUUGUGGAUGAUUUAUGAAGUGGAAAUGUGGUUCUAUGGUUCAUGGGCUAGGUUGGACUGUGAAAUUUCAAUUACAUUGUAUUAUCGAACUAUAUGAGAUAGAGUGACGUGGGAUUACCCCUGGGUAUAUUCAAGGUAAGGUCAUUCAAUGAUUGGUUGGCUUUUGGAACAACUCUGGGAACGUUUGAGGAGGAAUGUAUUUUAAGUGGGGGAGGAUGUAACGACCUGACCGGUCGUUUUGAGCUUUUGCACUUUGCUCGCCAGUUCUCGGGCAUGGCUUAUCCUGUGUGAUGUAUUAUAACUUACGUGAAUCGUUGGUUUUACCUUUCAGGAUACUCGGAACGAUAUUGGAAGAACAGUUCUCAAUUUGAAGCUUGAAAUUAAAAAGGUUUGACCAAGAUUUGACUUAUAUGUAUAUGAUCUCGGGUCGGAAUUUUUAUGAUUUGGCUAGUUCCUUUGGGGUAUUUGGGACUUAGGAGCGUGAUCGGAAUGCAUUUUGGAAGUUCGUGGAAGGUUUAGGCUUGAAUUGACGAAAUUGUGAUUUUGGCGUUUUCCGAGUUGAUAGGUGAGAUUUUGAUAUAGGGGCCAGAAUGGAAUUCCAAAAGUUGUAGUAGCUCUGUUGUGUCAUUAGUGAUGUGUGUGUAAAACUUUGGGUCAUUCAGACAUGGUUUGAUUGGGUUUUUGAUCAAAAGUGCAAUUUGAAAGUUCUUGAAAUUCAUAGGCUUGAAUCCGAUGUGAUUUUGGUGUUUUGAUGUUGUAUUCAACGUUUCAAAGGUUGGAACAAGUUUGAAUGAGGUUAUGGGAUAUGUUGUCAUGUUUGGUUGUGGUCUCGAGGGCCUCGAUGAGUUUCGGAUGGUUAAACGGAUCAAUUUUAAACUUUGGACUUGGCAGUUUUUGCUCGUUUUGCGUUGUAGACAAUUUGUUCUUCAUAUUCGCGGUUAGGGUCUCGUGUUCGCGAAGGGAAUUUUGUGUGAUGAUAUUUUGUUCUACACAUUCGGGAAGAUGAGAACGCGAAUGCGAAGGUGGAGGAUUCACGUACAUUGCGGACGCGAGACAGCGGUCGCGUUCACAUAGAGGAUUGAGGUCGUUGGGCACCCCAAGCCCAUGGGCUAUGCAUUCGCGAGAGUCAGACCGCAUUUGCGAAAUCCUGGUAAGCCGAAGCAUAAAUUGUUCGCGUUCGCGAAGAUAAAAAUGGAGAGGCGGUGAAUUUGGUCUACGCGAAUGCGAGAAGCCGGUCGCGUUCGCGAAAAAGAUAAUUUUACCUGGGGCAGAAUGUUUAAAAUUGAGUUUCGCGAUUUUAGUCUAUUUUCUACAUUGUUGAGCAAUAUUUGGAGCUUUUGAUAAGGGCUGAAAAGGAAAUCAAAGGGAAACACUUGGAGGUAAGAUUUUUUAACUCUAUACUUGAUCAUUUGCUGAUUCUUGCUUGUUUAAUCAUGGAAUAUGAGGAAAUUAAAAUCUAAAAUUGGGGAAUUAGGGCUUGGAUUUGGAGAGUGUACAUUGGGAAUUUGAGGGGGCAAUUGAGGUCCGAUUGUGAUGUUCUUGGAAUGUAUAUAUUCGUGAGAGGGUGAGGAUCCCAUUGAUGUUAAUUACGACGGAUUUCGAGACGUGGGCACCGGGGGGCAGAUUUGAGCACUUUUGGGAAUUUUGAUGUGAAUUUAAUAUUUUCGAGUUGGCUUCAUUCCCUUAGAAUAUUCUAAUGGUUAUGUACUGAUUAUGGCCAGAUUUUGAGCAUACAAAGGUCGAUUUGUGAGGGCAAAGGCAUCACGAGUUAGAGUUUGGACGCACACGCUAGAUGAUGAGAAUGGAGUCGUGCACCGUUGGGGAUUGUGACUUGGUCCGUCUUGUACAGUUGUUAAGUCGCGUAUCUGAUUUGAAAUCUUACGAUAUUCCAUACUUUAGAGAUUGAUAUUAUAUUUUGGAUUGCAUGCCAUGUUUGGGGCCUUGUGCCGACAUGUUGAGACCCUUAGGGGCCUUUUCACUAUUUUCCCUCACUCUAUUUGUUUUGAAAGCACAUCCUUAGUCCCUGUUUACCUGUUAUUGUUUAAAAUCUGGCUUUUAUCACUUAUCUUUUUAAAAUGUGAAAACUGUUUGAGCUGUGUUCCGUGAUUUACUAAUGGCCCGAGUGAUUAUGAGGUUGACGACAGAGAGAGACCGAGGGUCUGAUUGUGAGGUUUAUAACUGAGAUAGAUCGAGAGUCUGAUUGUGAGGUUGAUAAGUGAGAUAGAUCGAGAGUCUGAUUGUGAGAUAAAUGACUGAGAAUGGCCAAGGGCCGGGUUGUGAGAAUUAUAUAUUUAUGAAUCAGGCAGCACGUUGCAACAAUCAAUAUAUAUANNNNNNNNNNNNNNNNNNNNNNNNNNNNNNNNNNNNNNNNNNNNNNNNNNNNNNNNNNNNNNNNNNNNNNNNNNNNNNNNNNNNNNNNNNNNNNNNNNNNNNNNNNNNNNNNNNNNNNNNNNNNNNNNNNNNNNNNNNNNNNNNNNNNNNNNNNNNNNNNNNNNNNNNNNNNNNNNNNNNNNNNNNNNNNNNNNNNNNNNNNNNNNNNNNNNNNNNNNNNNNNNNNNNNNNNNNNNNNNNNNNNNNNNNNNNNNNNNNNNNNNNNNNNNNNNNNNNNNNNNNNNNNNNNNNNNNNNNNNNNNNNNNNNNNNNNNNNNNNNNNNNNNNNNNNNNNNNNNNNNNNNNNNNNNNNNNNNNNNNNNNNNNNNNNNNNNNNNNNNNNNNNNNNNNNNNNNNNNNNNNNNNNNNNNNNNNNNNNNNNNNNNNNNNNNNNNNNNNNNNNNNNNNNNNNNNNNNNNNNNNNNNNNNNNNNNNNNNNNNNNNNNNNNNNNNNNNNNNNNNNNNNNNNNNNNNNNNNNNNNNNNNNNNNNNNNNNNNNNNNNNNNNNNNNNNNNNNNNNNNNNNNNNNNNNNNNNNNNNNNNNNNNNNNNNNNNNNNNNNNNNNAUAUAUAUAUAUAUAUAUAUAUAUAUAUAUAUAUUUAUUUAUUUAUUUAUUUAUGAAUCAGGCUGCAUGCCGCAACGAUAUGUUGGAUCGGCAUGUACACCGCAACGAUAUAGCGGUUGGCCUGUAGGAGCCCCUCGAAAGUCUGCACACCCCUAGUGAGUGCCUUCGACGAGAUAAAAGGAUCGGGUUUCACGGUUCAGCGAUAUCUGGAUCAGGUUGUGCGCCGCAGCGAUUACUAUAUGGUUCUGAUUGACUGUGACUGCUAAGAGUGAGCGCUGAUUGAUGAGAGUUGAGUCUCGAGUGACUGAGAGACUUUCCCCAGGGGCUGUAUACAUAUAUGAGUGAUGCUUUGCCUAAGGGGAUUUUUUUUCUAAAGUUGAUGUUACCACUCAUCUCUAUACUUAGCCUCUAUUGGAAAUGUUGAACAAAUGCUUUUAAACAACUUUCAUGUAGGCUGGAGUUUUACGAGAUGUUCAGAAUUUAAUUACUGAUUUGGCUUUGUUAUUUCCACUAAGAUUAUUUUUAUGUUAUACGGUGUUUAUGAUUCCACUUUUGCCCUAGGGGUUAUAUACAAACUAUGUUUUUCCCGAGGGCCUAUUAUGAUUUUUAUCUCUUUAAUAAUAAAUUGUAUUGAACCUCUAUUAAAAUUGAUGGCAGGCAUCUUCAAAUGAUUUUUACCAAAAAACUAGAUUUUAAAUGAGAUAAUUAACUCGUAUUCUGAUUUGAAAGUGUGUUGCGUUUACUGAGUUUAUCAUAAUAUGGAUUAAUCGUUUCCUACUGCUCAGUUUUUAUUUACUCUUAUUACUUACUGGGUUAGCCGAGGGUCUUUCGGAAACACCCACUCUUCCCUUUCGGGGUAGGGAUAAGGUCUGCGUACCUAUUAUCCUCCCCAGACCCCACUCUGUGGGAUUUUACCGGGUAGUAGUUGUUGUUGUCUUUACUUGCUGGGUUAGAGUACUCACAUUACUCCCUGCACCCCGUGUGGAGAUUCAGGUAUUUGGAACCCGAUAGCAUGUGUUUAUUGCUCAGAUGCGGACUCAUCAGAGUUAGAAAGGUGGCUGCAUGAUGUUCGCAGCACUGCUUCCUUCCUCUCAUUUUUUUAUUACUGUAUUUUGUACAUUUUUAGACUCUUGUUGUACUCGGACCUUGGUAGAUGCUCAUGACUAGUGACACCCCGAUGUGUCGGGAUUGAGUAAUUAUUUCACACUUUUAUUUUAAGUUUCAUUAUGAAAUUAUUGGUUUAUAAAUGGUCUAAAAAUAACUCUUUAUGAUUAAAGGGUUAAUAUGAGUGUUGCGUCGGCUAGCCUUGUCUUCACGAGAGGCGCCAUCACGACCGAGUUGUUUUUUUUAAUCCCUCCCAAAUUAUGAGGAUCUAUAGUGCUUCCACACUUCCCCUCCAUGGUGAUUCAAACCCAAGACCUAACGGUCGUAGGUGAAGGUGCUUUUACCAACUGAGCGAGCCUCACUUCCCCUCCAUGGUGACUCGAACCCAAGCUGGUUUGGGGUCGUGACAAUGUGAAAAAUAUAUUUAUAUAUUAAGUUUAAAAAUAUUAAUUUUCUUGAGCCUUGGAAUUAUAAAAAUGGUUACUAGACAACAAGUAGUUAAAUCAAAAUUCUAAUUUCCAAAUAUAUUAUGUUAUUCCUACUAAAACUAAAUUAUUUCCAGCACAUUCUAGCAAUUAUGAGCUGCAAACUACAAUGUAUUGAAUCUUUUUAAAGGUAACCGGAUGCAUGGGUUAGGACAAGGAGCGUCCGGAGUCUCUUAAGAAAGGACAAAGACUAAUUAAUAUCAUGUCUACACCGAUCGGAUUUAAAAAAGUCUUUCGCCCCUUAUCUUCUCAUCUAUCUUCUUUAUCUUCUGAUCGGAAUUUGAAGGUUUCAGCAGGUUCGUAUGAUGACUUUGAACUUGGGCAUAUGUGCGGACUGGGUUUUGGAAGAUCCGGGAACGUUUUGGCAUCUAUUGUGGAAGUUAGCAUUUGUGGGAAAAUCUCAUAAGUUGGAUUAAAGUGCAUUCAAAGGUUAUCAAUGUCUGUUCGAGAUUUCAAGUGUGGGAACAGCUCUGUAUGGUGAUUCUGGCAUUGGGAGCGCGAUCGGAAGUGAAUUCGGAGGAUCAUGGGUUAUUUUGGAUUCAUUUGGCUAAAGAUAGAAAUUUGAAGGUUUUUAAGAAGUUUGACCAUAAGUGGACUUUUUUAUAUAGGGGUCAGAAUCAGAUUCUGAAAGUUGGAGUAGAUCUGUAAUGUCGAAUAUGUCUUGUGUGCAAAAUUUGAAGUUAAUCGGGCGUGAUUUGAAAGCUUUAAACAUCUAAAGUAGAAGUUUGAAAUUCUAAAGUUCAUAAAGCUUUGAUUCGAGGUUGAUUCAUGGAUUUAGCGUUGUUUGAUAUAAUUUGAGGCCUCAAGCAAGUAUGUAAUGUGUUUUGGACAGGUUGGUAUGAUUGGUUGGGGUCCCGAGGACCUCGGGUGGAUCUCGGGUGAUUAUCGGAUCGAAUGUGGAAUUUGGAAGGUGAAGUUGUUGGUUGCUGGUGUAACUGCACCUACGAAACUAGGGCCGCAGGUGCUGAGCUGCAGAAGCAUCCUUCGUGCCGCAGAAGUAGAAAUGGAUGGCUAGGCUGGGACUGUAGAUACGGUCAUUUUUCCACAGAUGCGGGACUGCAUCUACGGAAGGAGAAGCGCAGAUCUGGAAGUUGAAGGCUUGGGGGAAGACCGCAGAAGCGGAAAUUAGUCCAUACCUGCGGGACGGCAGGUGCGAAAGAACUGGAGGCAGUAAGAGUUUUAAAAAUCGGGUUUUAGCCAUUUUCUCUCAUUUUUCUCUUGGCUUGGCCGAUUCUUAGAGGAUUUCUAGGGGUCUUUUCACCAUCAACAUUAAGAUAAACUUUCCCCACCUAUCUUGAGUUAAAUAUAUUGAUUAAGUAUGGAUUUGAGCAGGAAAUUUUAUAGAAACUUGGGGUUUAAGGAAAAAACUAGAAAAUUGAUAUUCUUGGAAUUUAACCACGAUUUUGGGUAUGAAUUUGAGAGUAAAUUAUAUAUUUAAGUUUGUGAAGUUAUGUGUAAAGUUUAUUUUCAAAAGUUUUGAAAUCGGGGAAUGUGGGCCCGAGGAAAAUUUUGUCAACUUUUUGAUCGGGGUUAGGAAUUGUUAUAAAUUGGAUUGUAAAAGGAAAUGGGCAUAUAUUAAUGGAUUUACAUAAUUAUUGGCUAGCUUUGUAGCAUUUAGCAUCGAUUCGAGUCUUUGAAAGGGCGUGGAAUGCCGGUUAGGAAUCUUCGGAGCGAGGUGAGUCUUCUUUCUAAACUUGUAAGAAAGAAUUGUCAAUAUAGGUGAAUUAAUUGGAUUUAUGCUCCUAUCUGUGGGGGCUACGUACGCACGAGGUGACGAGAGUCCUUGCGUAGCUACUAUUAUGCUUUAAGUCCGGGUAGUCUAGGACCCAAAAGCAUCCUAUACUUGGAAUAAUUGUAAUCUUAUCGACAGUUUUAAUUGCUUAAAUCACAUCGAAUUAGUAAAUAAAUUUCAAAAAAGAUUAGACUUCAUUAAUCUGAAUUGUUAAAAGAGAAUCAGAUUUUUCUUGGAUAAUUUUUUCUUGAUGAAUUCGAUUGACUAAUUGUUGUGUUUAUUUAUAUUUGACUGUGUCGCAUGUAUGAUUCACGAGCGGGGUAAUAGAUGCAUUUAUGGUUCACGCCAUUCGACCCUCUAGCAGUGCACAGUUUAAAUAUUGUUUGAUCGACCGUACAACCUCUGCACGAUUUGUGCAUUCGUGUAUUGCUUUCCUUGAAACUUAUUGAAGUUGGUAAUGCCUCUUCUCGGCUUGAGAAUAUAUGUAUAAUUGAUGAAAAGGAAUUAGGAAAAUUCCUAUAAAAGAAAGAAUUGCUUACUUGCUUCAACCUAUUGAAUUAAAGUCAUGUUUAUAAAAAUUUACGAUUUAAUAUAUUAUUGAUAUAACAUUAUUGGACCACUAGUAAGUGUCAAAAUAGACCUCUCGUCUUUACUUCAUCGAGAUUAGACAGGAUACUCACUGGGUACAUGUUGUUUUCAUACUCAUACUACACUUGCUAUUCAUUUUGUUGCAUAGGUUCGUAUGUGGCAUAUCUUAGUGGCAUAGGGGCAUGGAUAAUAUGGAGACUUAGAUGAGCUGCAAUUAUCGAGACGACCAACAGCCAACAACGUCUCCUUCAUAUUGUACUGUAUUUAUAUUUCUGUCCACUUGUAUUCCGGACAGUUACUGUAAUUUUUUACGCCAUUUCCUAUUAAAUGCUCAUGCACUUGACACCGGGGUUCUGGGAUGAUUAAAAAGAGGUACCUUGUAUUAACUGCUUAACACUUAUAUUCGAUUUGAAACGAUUAUUUUUUACUGGUAAAAUUGAAGAAAAAUCAUAGUUUUCAAACCUAUUAAAAUGAGAAUUUAAUUAAGUGUUUUGGUUGGCUCGCCUGACAGCGGUGUCUGGCGCCAUCACGAUCCUUAGUGGAUUUUUGGGUUGUGACAACAUGGUAUCAGAGCACUAGGUCCCCUUAGGUCUCAUGAGUCAUGAGCAAGUCUAGUAGAGCCUUGCGAAUCGGUACGGAGACGUGUAUACUUAUCUUCAGGAAGCUACAGGGCUGUUAGGAGCACUUCCCUUGUAGAUUCAUCCUUUUGCGAUUUGAAUCCUUGAGGCAUAUGUUCUUGUUUCCUUCCUACUCAAUCUUACGCGACGCUAACCACUUGUUAUAAAUCGAGAACUAAAGGAUUGUAAUGGUACUACGAAUGUGGGGCGGGGUAUUUCUCCCUGUGGGGUUGUUUGAGCUAUAUCAUCGCCUUGUGGAAGGAUAUUCUGCCGUUUCAACUCAGUAGCUGUACAUCUGAGAGCUCUGAGGCUAGACACAAGUUUCCAUGAUACUUAUGGAUUAUUGUUCCGCAGUAUUGAUAUGGUGGUAGGAUGUUUGCCUACGUGUCGGGCCAGUGAAUGACUUGAAGGGAGGUUUACUCAGUGCAUGAUCUAGAGAUUCUAUAUUUUAUUCCAGGCAGUGGAAAGGCAAUCGGGCUAAGACUGUUCAUAUUAGGGUUGAUAGGGUAAUGAGGCUUGGUAUUUUCGAGUGUGGUGGAAUUUUCAUCGCUUGUAGGGUAUCAUCGUCUUCGAUUGAACAUGUUGACUUCGUCGGUGUUAUGGUUUUCUUCAAUUCGCCUUUGCGGCAUGAUAUUGUGAAAUAAUAAUGGAGAGGUGAUUUUCAAAGAUCGCAGCGUGCGGUGGUUCGGGAUUAUAUCGGUAUAUCUAGGGUUGAUAGCCCAAGAAAGAUGAUCCCCGGAAAGGUUUAAAGUUAAUAGAGAAUUAUGGGUUUACAAAGAUGGAUUUUAUGUAAAGUAACAGUUGAGCAGCAAAGGAUGAGGAAGGACAUUUGGAGAGUGUCAGGUAGUGGUUAACAUUUCUACCAGGUAAGUUAUAAGAAGCAAAGGUCGAUUAGUCGAUUAAAAGGGUGAGUUCCGCCAAAAUAGGAGAGUGGCGGAGUUGCAUAUGGGCUUUGUGGUAGGAUUACUACGCACCUUAAGGAGAUUUUUGGAAUGAUUCGGGAAUUUUAGUGAUUGGUGAGUGGAGUCUACUGAUUUAAUUUGAAGCAUAGGCUAUUAUGCGGUAGAAGGUUUGAUAUAAUGGAAAGAAGCUGCUUGAAAUGAAUAAUGAUACAACAUAACUUUCAAUUGGAAGGAUGUUGCCGCACAUUUAAUUGAUGUCCACAAGGGAGGAAUAGACUUGUGCAGCUAGAGAGUGAGCUCGGACUCAGGACGGGUUAUUGUUGUCACAGUGAUUGUACCCCGUGCAGCAGCGUUGGAAGAUGUCGGAAAGUGAUUUUCACAUGUGGGUUAUUCCCUGUGAGCAGGUCAGCGGUCGUGUGGUUGGCGAAACUUCUAUGGAGCAUUUUACUGGCCAUUCCGGUAAGAGGUCAAAUAUAUGAAUGUUGAUGGAAAUUCAAGGAGUUCAUGAAGUGCUAAUAGAAGGAUUUCAAGGAAUCUGACAGUUUAAUUGCGUGAGGCCAUGUGAAUAAGAGAUAAAGAAUCUUGGUGAAUUCCAGAGUUGUGUAAUAGUGGCUUCAAUAUAAGUGGUAGAGUCCCAUCGCCAAUGAUUGGGUUACAUGGUUAACUACUUGCGAGGUUUAUGGUUAUUAGCAUAUUGAUGGGUUGUUUCAGUUACAGGAAAAGAUCAUAGGUGGUAAUUUGAGCAAAGGGAUUGUUAAAGGUGUGUUAUGGGUGGCCUUGGGAAAGGAUUCAAGAUUUGCACCUUGUAUAGAUCCGGGUUUCAAGGGAAGUAAUUCCGUCGGUUGCUUCGUCAAGAGGGUAUUCAUGUGCUAGAAGAUUCAUGGAGUUGAUUGUAUUCGGGGCCAAAUCAGAGCGGGUGGCUCUCAACAACAGUCCUGGUGAAUUUGAAGGGGUAAAGCAUGGUGCCUAAUAAUGUCGAGCCUAUUGGUACAGUUAAGAAUCAAGCUUGUAGCAGCUUAUGAGAGGUACCCAUAAUGUUCUAUGAUGUUUUGAAUUGUAGUGUAGCAAUUGAAAAGUAUGAAAUAGUUCAUGGGAUUUGAGACGACAUGGUCUCGUAAGUCACGGUCACUCGAGAUGAGUGAGGAUGGAGUGUGUUAUGUGUUGAAUGGAGCUAUUAUUUCUAAGGCAAUCAAGGAUAAAUUGGAUGAAGAUAGACUGGUUAGCCAUAGUUGAAUUGGCAUAUGGGUGGUAGUAAUUAGUUCUUUUAGCGAAUUAUGCAAGUGAAUUGUGGCGAUGUAUGACAUGCCUGUCGGCCGCUGUAAUUUAUUUUAUUUAGAAGUAUUCUUCUAUUAUGGAAUAUUGCAUGUUGGCAAAUCCCGGAAGGGUUAUGAUGGUUUAGACCAUUACUUGGAGAUUUGCAUAGGCUGCGGUUAUGGGAAUUCAAAUGUGUGUUGCUAUGGAUCUCCUGAAGCGAGUUAAGUGAAAAGUUUUAUAUGAUGAAGUGUUAAUCUAUUAGUGGUUCCGGGGUUACGAUAAAACUCGUGUUUUAUCGUAUAUUGGCAUGUUGGGUGCAGUGAGUGGUACGGAAUUUGAGCUGAGGAUCAAGGUUGCAAUUCGGUGUUAACAAGGAUGCCACGAGCUCGGAAGAGCGGGAAAAGGGUUUGGAUGUUUAAAGUAAGUUGGUAUGGUAUUCAACGUCACCUGAUAUCGGUGUUUUAUGAAAGAGGAUUCGCAUCAUGGUUAAUGAUUCUUAAUCGCUUUUCAGAUUAGUGCGGAUGGUGGUUUGGAUGUACGGGCCUUUUAUUUGUUAUGAAAGGUUGUGGGGGCGUAUCCCGCGGGAAGGUUGUAUAAGCGUGGCAUGUUGUCACUUGAUUGAUUGAAGAGUUAAAGCAAGUAUGAAGAUUGGGGUGAUGACAUUAAAUUGAGAAUUGAUGCCUGGAGGGAACUCGGUCUAUUGGGUUGUGGACUGUGGAGGAUUACUCCGGUUAUGAUGGAUGUUCUUGUGUGUUAUGAGAAAAGGGGAGUUAGUAUGGACCUUGAAAGGUUAUUAGCCUAGUUUGGUACGACUAGGAUCGACUUGAGGUCGUGAAUAUGGGUUGUAUAUCAGGCAAGAUGCGUUCAUUACAACAAUGUACUCCAUAUGGAAGAGUAUUCAGGGUGUUAUUUCGUUGUCAGCUAUUUCAUGUAUAUGAUAUAUUGUGCUGUGUGAGUUGUGAUAUGGCUUGGUGAAUUUCUUAUUUAUUGAGGUUCCACGUAGAGUCGAUGUUAUAUGAACAGAAUGGCUCUUGGGAUUCAGAUCGUAUAUCGCACCUCAGUUGUGCUCGAGUUUGUAGCUUAUAGCUCUAUAUGUCUCCCUAGGAAUUGUAUUAUGCACUUAGCGUGCUUGUGACCGAUAUUUGGUAUUUUGUUGAGAUGAGAAAUUUAGCUUGAUGUAUAUCUCCUUAAGUGAAUUCUAUGUGUGGAUCGGGUGGCACGCCGCCAUAGGUAUGUUACUUGGAUCGGGUUUCAUGCCAUAACAGUGUGAUGUUGAGUACAGUUCCCUAUAUUUGUUUAUAUGUGUUUUGUUUCCUAAUUUUUUUAGGAAACUCAUAUUAGUUGUGUGCCCGCGUCGCAUGUAUGAUUCGCUAGCGAGGUAAUUGGAUGUACUUUUUCAGAGUUCGCUUUUCUUUUGUGUCGCAUUCGAAUUAGCAGCAUAUUGGCACAUCGUGGCAUCAUAUGAGACUUUUGAUCAUGUCUGGGGUGGUUUAUUGCCUAAGCAGUUCGUACUGGAUGAGACGAGAGUAUUGGAUUUAGGAUCAGUGCAAUAUGAUUAUAUGAAGUAUAUUAAGGAGCAAAGACCAUUAUUCGGUUCAGAAUGAGGUAUGGUUCUUAUCAGGAGUGUAGACCCAAUAAAUUGUCAAUUCGGCAGUUGGUUAUGAAUUUCUACACAUCUCUUCCAUCGUGGCAGUAUUGUAAGAGUUAGAGCAACACCUAUAUAGGUGAUGAGGUGCAAUAGGAGCAUCAGAUUUAUGGAAUUUCAAAUUAAUUUAUCAGAGAAUGUUAUUCUGGCCCCGCAAGUAAAGUGGUGCAAGGUGUGAAUUCAGCUAAGGUAUAUAGUCAUGUUUUGGUGCUGCGUGUAGUUAUUGAUUCGGUGAGAAUAUGCUGGAAUAGGCCUGGUAGGAGAAUUUCGAAUGUUGGGAUUGGGCUCUAAGGAUUGUUUGCCUAAGUGAAAAAGGAUAUCUUCAUAUUUAUCGAGCUAGGGUGCCUAGCUGAGUUGUGGUACCACGAGUAGGUGCUCGAGGUGUUAAACAGUGAAUUCAGGCAACUCCAGCACAGUUCUUAGCAUGUUCGAGGAUGAACGUAUGUUUAAGUGGGAGAGAAUGUAAUGACCCGACCAGUCGUUUUGAGCUCUAGCGCGUCAUUCAGCAGUUUGGGGCCAUGAGCAACUUCACUUCAGGUAUAUGACUUUUGCAAAUGGUCAGAAUUGAAUUUCGAGAAGUUCGAAGUUGAUCUGGAAAGAGAAUUUUCAUUUCGGAAGCUUUAAAUUGAAAGAAUUGAUUAAGGUUGAAUUUUUGAAUAAACGACCUCAAAAUCAGGAUUCGAAGGUUCUAGAAGGUUAGUAUGAUGAUUUCGGACUUGGGCGUAUGUCCGGACUAGGUUUUGGAAGACCCGGGAACGUUUCAACGUCUAUUGUGGAAGUUAGCAUUUGUGAAAAAAUCUCAUAAGUUGGAUUGAAGUGCAUUUCAGGGUUAUCAAUGUCCGUUCAAGAUUCUGAAUGUGGGAAUAGCUUUGUAUGGUAAUUCCGGUAUUGGAAGCGUGAUUGGAAGUGAGUUCGGAGGCCCAUGGGUCAUUUUGGAGUCAUUUGGCUAAAGAUAGAAAUUUGUAGGUUUUUAAGAAGUUUGACCGGAAGUGGACUUUUUGAUAUAGGGGUCGGAAUCUGAUUCCUAAAGUUGGAGUAGGUCUAUAAUGUAGAAUAUGACUUGUGUGCAAAAUUUUAAAUCAAUCGGACGUAAUUUGACAUGUUUAAACAUUGAAAGUAGAAGUUUGAAAUUCUAAAGUUCAUAAAGCUUGGAUUGCAGGUCGAUUCAAGCUUUUAGCAUUUUUUUGAUAUGAUAUGAGGACUCGAGCAAGUCCGUAAAGUGUUUUGGGACCGCUUGGUAUGAUUAGUUGGGGUGCCGAGGACCUCGGGUGGAUUCAGGGUGGUUAAUAGAUCGAAAAUGAAAUUUUGGAGAAGGCUGAAGUUGUUGGUUGAUGGUGUAACCGCAGCUGCGAAACUAGGUCUACAGGUGCGGAGCCAAAGAAGCGGACUUCGUGCCGCAAAGUGGAAAUGGAUGGCUAGGUUGGGACCAAAGAUGCGGUCAUUUUUCCACAUAUGCGGGACUGUACCUGUGGAUGGAGAAGAGCAGAUGCGGAAGAUGAAGGCUUGGGGGAAGACCGUAGAAGCGGAAAUUGGUCUGCACCUACGGGGCCGCAGAAGCGGUCAAUAGACCGCAGGUGUGAAUGAACUGGAGGCAGUGAGUGUUUUAAAAAUCGGGUUUUGGCCAUUUCCUCUCAUUUUUCUCUUGGCUUGGACGAUUCUUGGAGGAUUUCAAGAGGGGGUUUCCAUCAUCAAUGUUAAGGUAAACUAUCCCCACCUAUCUUGAGUUAAAUACAUUUAUUAUGUAUGGAUUUGAGCAAGAAAUUUGUAGAAACUUGGGGUUUGAGGGAAAACCUAGAAAAUUGAUAUUCUUGGAAUUUGACCACGAUUUUGGGUAUGAAAUUGAGAGUAAAUUAUAUAUUUGAGUUCGUGAGGUUAUGGGUAAAGUUUAUUUACGAAAACUUUAGGAAUCCGAGAACAUGGGCCCGAUGGCAAUUUUGUCAACUUUUAGAUCGGGGUUAGAAAUUAUUAUAAAUUGGAUUGUAAUGAGUAAUUGGGCAUAUAUUAACAGAUUUGCAUAAUUAUUGGCUAGCUUUGGAGCAUUUAGCAUCGAUUCGAGUCUUCGAAAGGGCGCGAAAUGUCUGUUAGGAAUAUUCGGAGCGAGGUGAGUCUCAUUUCUAACCUUGUAAGAGAGAAUUGUCCCCAUAGGUGAAUCAAUUGAAUUUGUGCUCCUAUCUGUGGCGGAUAUGUUCACACGAGGUGACAAGAGUUCGUGCGUAGCUACUAUUAUGUUUUACUAUAAAUUUCAUUGUUGCCGGUAUUGACAUGUAGAACGGGACUCUAUCUUUUUUCUCGUCUGAUUAAUCAGUUUUUCAAAAGAUCUAUCAGACUAUGGAGUGAAUGGUUUGAUCAAUGAAUAUUCGAUUCUUUCUUCAAUGUAGAAUCGAUUCACACCAAUUCUUCUAUUUUAAUCAGUUUUUCAAAAGAUCUAUCAGACUAUGGAGUGAAUGGUUUGAUCAAUGAAUAUUCCAUUCUUUCUUCAAUGUAAAAUCGAUUCACACCAAUUCUUCAAUUUUUAUAGAAAAAAUACGGAUUCGGGUCAUCAUUAAUCAUUUGAUAUAGUAUUCAAUAGUCCGGGUAGUCUAGGACCCAAAAGCAUGCUAUUCUUGGAAUAAUUGUAUUCUUAUCGCCAGUUUAAAUUGCUUAAAUCACAUCGAAUUAGUAAAUGAAUUUCUAAGAAGAUUAAACUUCAUUUUUUGAAUUGUUUAAAGAGAUUUGGAUUUUUCUUGGAUAAUUGUUCCCUGAUGAAUUCUUGAUUAACUGAUUGUUGUGUUUAUUUAUAUUUGACUGUGUCGCAUGUAUGAUUUGCGGGCGGGGUAAUAGAUGCAUCUAUGGUUUGCGUCAUUCGACCCUCUUACAGUGCACAAUUUAAAUAUUGUUGAAUCGGGCCGUACGGCCUCGGCAUGAUUUACGCAUGCUUGUUGCUUGCCUUGAAAAUUAUUGAAGUUGUUAAUGCCUCUUCCCGGCUUGAGAAUAUAUGAAUAAUUGAUGAAAAGGAAUUUGGAAAAUUCUUAUAAAAGAAUUGUUUACUUGCUUCAACGAAUUAAAGUCAUGUCUACAAAAAUCCAUGAUUUAAUAUAUUAUUAAUAUAACAUUAUUGGACCACUAGUAAAUGUCGAAGACGACCUCUCGUCUCUACUUCUUCGAGAUUAGACGGGAUACUCAUUGGAUACAAGUUAUUUUCGUACUCAUACUACACUUGUUGUGUAUUUUGUUGCAUAAAUCCGUAUGUGGCAUAGCUUAGUGGAAUAGAGGCAUGGAUGAUAUGGAGACUUGGAUAAGCUGCAAUUAUCGAGACGACCCGCAGCAAGCAGAGUCACCUUCAGAAGAUUGUGCUAUAGUUUCGUUUAUGUCCACUUGUAUUCCGAACAGCUGCUGUAUUUUUUUAUGCCAUUUUCUAGUAAAUGCCCAUGCACUUGUGACACGGGGUUCUGGGAUGAUUAUGGGGUACCUUGUAUUAACUGCUUAACACUUAUAUUCGAUUUGAAACGAUUAUCUUUUACUGGUAAAACUGAUGGAAAAUCAUAGUUUUCAAAAUUGUUAAAACGAGAAUUGGAUUAAGUAUAUUGGUUGGCUUGCCUCACACCGAUGUCCGGUGUCAUCACGACCCUUGAUGGAUAUCAUCUUUCAUGUUUUCUUAAUUUAUCACCAUUUAAAUAGUAAACUGUCUUGAGAGUUUUGCUAAGUCCUAUAAAAGUUUGUAGGUAUGUAUUUAUGUAUGUAUGUUAUUGCAUUCUACUUUUACUAGUGACUCCUGCAUUACUUUCGAAAAAAUUCUAAAAAUCACCGAAUCAUACCGACAUCAAAGAAAAACCGGCACAAUUAGGAUAGUUUUGAAAAGUCUAAUAUUAAUUAUGCAUAAUAAAAUAAUCGAAAAAUUAAUAUGAUAUAAAUUCUAUAGUUAACCGGCCGAACCGAAACUGCUGACACCCCAGGUAGUACUAGUAAUGUUUUAGGGCAUGGUAGUUUNNNNNNNNNNNNNNNNNNNNNNNNNNNNNNNNNNNNNNNNNNNNNNNNNNNNNNNNNNNNNNNNNNNNNNNNNNNNNNNNNNNNNNNNNNNNNNNNNNNNNNNAAAUUUCACAUUAUAAUUUUUUUCAGAGUGAACUCAAUAAUACACGAUUAUGUUUCAGAUGAUUUCAGUGCUUUUGCUCAAAUCCGAUAUUUGUAUUAGAAAAUUCUUUAAAUAUAUAAAUAUUUAGUUAUCGAAAUUCAGUAACUAAGACUAGCUUUAGAUUCAAUAACGACAAGUUCAAAAUAGAUAAACUUUCGAUCCUAAUUCGGUAAUUCCCCCCACUAGGUGGUAUGUCUUUGAGCAGCAUUUGAAUAAAGUUGACAAAAAUGUAUUUGAAGUUAAAAAUUUUGUUGUGGUAUUACCAACUGAGACUGAAGCUUUAACUUUGGUUGGUUAUGUAGAAGACUAGAACUCGUGUCUGACAGAAAGUGGUCGUACUGUAAUUACGAGAAAGAAAUAUUAUCACGUACUCCAUAAAUAAAAAUUAAAAAAAAACAGUAAAUCCAAAUGUUGGCUUAUUCUCAUCAACUUUUAAAUUAUUGAGGUUAGGACCGCAUCUUUCCACUAGCUCAAGACUCAAGGAUAAAAAGAAAGGACGGCAAAAAAGCUAGAGCUAAUUUGUUGAUGCACUAAGUUGUAUUGCUGGUCCUUAUUAAAUUAUGACGAUCCGAUCCCUCGUCUCAUGUGUUACUGUCCCGUUUCUCUUAUUUUUAUGCUUCUUCAUGUCUCAUUGUCGAUAUUUGGUGUGAUAGAGUUAAUCCGAAUUGAUUUUGGAAGGAAACGAGACCCUUAGUCUCUUUAAGAAAAGUUUUAUUUGAAAAAGUCACUGGUUCGAGUUGAGUAAUGCUUGUAAAUGAUAUCCUGAGGGUUUGAAACCCCAGAUUUGCACAUCGUAGUGCUAUAUUGAGGUGAGACACGCACCUUAUGACGAGUGCGGAGUCGUUGGUUAUUGGGGAUUGUGACUUGGUCCGUCCCGAGAGAUGUUUCUUCUGUGUUUUCGACUAGACCUUCUUUGAUAAUCAUCCUACUUUGAUUUAUUUGUUAUAUUUGGGCUUCGUGCCAAUUAUUUGAAUCCUCCACGGAUUGAUAUCACUGUUUUCACAUAUUUUGCAUAUUAUUUGAUCUUAGUUCAAGGUUUUAAAUAUUGUUUUGCAACUCAGCCAUCUUUCUAAGAUUUGAAAACUUAAAUGAUAUUUCUAAAUGAUAUUUGGGGGCUGAGAACUACUAUUUUACAAAUGCCCAAGGGGCUUGUGAUGAUUUCUGGACUGAUCAUGGAUCGGGCUGCGCGCCGCAGCGAUAUUACAGUGAUAUUGAGGCCGAAAGCCUGGUUGAUGCCACGAGAUGGCUUGAUAAUUGCGCUUAGGCUGUAGGAACUCCUCCGAAGUCCGUACACAUCCCCAGUGAGCGCCGUCGACGUUAAAUGGAUCGGGUUCCACGCCACAGCGAGUACUAGAGUAUGUUGUCAUAUGCAUUCCAUUGUACUCAUGCCUUUGCUCAUUAUCUGUCUAGUAUCGUCAUAUGCUUUGCAUUGUACUCAUGCCUUUGUUCAUUAUUUGUUGUUUUGCUUUUUCUUGAAAUAGUUAUCUGUUGUUUUGGUAUUAUCUGAUCACUCCUAAAGAGGAUAAAUUUAGACAGUGGUAACAAUGACACUGAAAGAUGUGCUUUGUCCGGUAACAACGUAUGACCAGUAAUAAUACCGUGCGGUCAGGUAGCAAUGGCUGACCAUGAACGAGAUUAUGGACCGAGGGGCGAGGUUCUGUGCAUAACAACAUUAUUUGUUUGAAAUUAUUCUUGCAAUUGUUGAAAAGAUUAUUUUCAAAAGAGGUUUAAAACUUAGCCAAGAUAUUUCCAAAGAUUUUAUAGUUUCACUGUUUUCUCAAAGGGUUAGAUUGUCCCAUAUAGCAUGAUGGCUUGCAUUACAUGAUUUCUUACCGCUCAGUUAUUAUUUAUUUUUAUUACUCACUGAGUUAGAGUACUCACUUUACUCCCUGCACCUCCCAUGCAAAUGCAGGUAUUGAUCACCCGGUAGCGGGUUUUGAGCUGAUUGAGGGCAUUACUAUUAUACCUGAGCAGAGUGACCACUAGCGUUUGCGGAACCGGAUUUCCUCCUUUGGUUAUAAAUUUUAUUAUUAUGUUUUGGCCCUGUAGUUGUAUUUAGACUUCUCUAGAUACUCAUGACUUAUGAUACCCCAUAUUGGGUUGUGUAUAGGUUGAACUUUCGCUAAAUAAUGUUAUUAAAUCAUCUUUAAAAAUGUUUAUUCAUGUUUAUCUACUUUUGAAAAGGAAAAUUAAGUUGGGUUGGCUCGCCUUGUCUUCAUGAGAGGCGCCAUCACGAUCGAAGCGGUGUUUGCGUCAUGACAAGUUGGUAUCAGAGCCUAGGUUACUAGGUUUAACGAGUCAUGAGCGGGAAGAGUAAUUGGGUGUUGCUCAGUAAAUGGAGUAUUGGUUAUGACCUAUCGGGUCGCGUGGGUAUGUUAUUUGUUUCACAGUAGGUGUAAUGAAUUGCUUUGGUUCUAGACAUCAAAUUGUGCGUGGCUGUCGAUUUUGAGCAUAGUGACUUGAGGUGUUUCAUAUGUGACAGUGUAUGGAUAGGAUCUCCCAUUGUAGCGAGGCCACGUGAAGAUAUGACCUUUCAGGGUAGAUUCAGGUGUUCUAAUUCUAUGGUGUGAGAUGGGGUCUCAGCCUUGUGUUGUGAUGGUACUGAUGAGCUUGGGGUACCGCUCUUUCGUUUGAGUCAUUUUUCAUGAUUUAAGUAUGUUAAGACUGUUUCUUAUUGGUGCGCGUAUUAUGCAAGUUGUGGCUUAGGCAUAUAUUGAGGUGUGAUAUCACCAGAGUGGUGUGUUGGAUUCUAAGUGAUCGUUGGGGUCACUAAUGAAUACGAAUGGAUUUGAUUCCAGCAUUUUGGAAGAAUAAUAUUGAGGUUCGGCUUGGAAUCUGCUGUGGUAUUAGUCAAAAGGGAAAUGUCUUCAUGAAUGGUUGAUAUGAGAAAUGGUUAUGGUUUAUUGCGUGUUCCAUUUAUCGUUGCUAGUAUAUGAAAAUGUUGGAAUAAGACCUUGGUUGAUAAUAGGUUUUCUACCGGUAUUCGGGUAUUGUAGGCAACUACUGUGAAUAGAAGUUAUCAUUUCGAGUGUUUGGGUUAUGUAAUAUAUCAUAUGAUUGAGGGUUAUUACAGCUAUUUCGGGCUUAUUCUGAGUAUAGAUGUGAGGUUCUAAUCUUAUGUAUGAUUUUGGAAAGCGCAAUGUGGUUCUAUAGUUUAUGGACUACAUGGAUUGUGAAAUUUCAGCUAUGUUGUGUUAUCAGACCUAUGCGAGAUACGGUGAAAUGGGAUCACCCUCGGGUAUAUGCUUGGUAAGGUCAUUCAGCUAUUGGUUGGCUUGUAGGACAACUUUAAGUUAGGGAGGAUGUGACGACCCAACCCAUCGUCUCAUGUGUUACUAUCACAUUUCCCCCAUUUUUAUGCUUCUUCAUGUCUCUUUAUCAGUAUUUGGUGUGUUAGAGUUAAUCCAAAUUGGUUUUGGAAGGAAAUGAGACACUUAGUCUCUUUAAGCAAAGUUUGAUUUGGAAAUGUCAACCGAAUGUUGACUUAUGAGUUAGAAGGCUCGGAUGUGAUUUCUGGUGAUUUGGUUAGCUUCGGGGGAUGAUUUGUGACUUAGGAGUUUAAUCGGAAGUGAUUUUGAAGGUUCGGCGUAAAGCUAGGCUUGAAUUGGAGAAGUUUGCACUUUGGCGAUAUCCGGUUGAUAGGUGAGAUUUUGAUAAAAUUGACGUAAAGGAAUUCUAAGAGCUGCAAUAGCUUUGUUACAUGAUUUGGGAUGUGUGUGCAAAAUUUCAUGUCAUUCGGAGGUGAUUUGGUUCUGUUUUUGAUCAAAUACGUGUUUCAGAUGUUUUUGGAGAACUUAGUCUUGAAUUCGAUGUGAAUUGAUGGUUUUGAUGUUGUUUGAUGUGUAUUGUUGAUUUGAAUGAGUUUGAAUUAUGUUUUAGGAUGUGUUGGUACUUUUUAUUGAGUUUCCGGGGGCCUUGGGUGAGUUCCGGGUGGUCAAUCGGACCAUUUUUCUGUUUGAGAGAUAAAAGAAAAAUCAGUUGAAGUAUUGCUGAUGUUUUGGCCUUCGUGUUCGAAAAGGGGAAUUCUCGUUCGCAGAGGGUUGAGUUAUGUAUGCCUCGCAUUCCCGAGGGUCAAUGUCGCGUUCGCUAAGGCUUGUGAGGGACAUCAUCGCAUUCACUGGUGUGUGUACGCGAUCGCGAAAGAGGAUUUGGGGCUGAUGGUCAGUUAUUCAUCGUGUUCGCGUGGAAGUGAUCGUAUUCGCGAAGGUCAAGGCUUUGAAGCAUCACGGUCGAAACUAGUAUGUCGUGUUCACGUAAGGUAAAAUUUGGUCAGUGCAACUUUGUGCUACGCGUUCGCGAGUGUUGGACCGCUUUCGGAAGAAAGAAUUCCUAUAGUUGGGCAAAAUGUUUUAAAACAUUUCAUCCGCGAUUUUGGGGCUCAUUUACCCCAUUGUUGAUUGUUUCGAGAACUUUUUGAAGGAACUUUAAUAGGGAUUCAAGGAGAAUCAACUGGAGGUAAGAAUUUUGAACUCAAAACUCGGUCUUAUUGUGUAAUCCAUCUAGAAAUUCAUGGAAAUUAAGCCUAAAAUUGAUGAACUGGGGCUUGGGAUUUUGAGAUUUUAAAUUGGGAUUUGAUGGGUAAUUUGAGCUCAUAUUAAGGAGUUCUUGGUAUGUAUGAACUCGUGGCGAGAUAAGGAAUCAAUUUAUGUGAAUUUUUCAAUUUUUCAAGAAGUGGGCCAAGGGCUCAGGUUUUUCUAAAUUCGAGAUUUUUGCUAUUUUUCUAUUGUUUUCGAUUGGAUAUUGUACCCUUGUGAUGUACUCGCUCUGAUUUUGGUUAGAUUCGAUGUGUAUGGAGGCUGAUUUGAGGGGCAAAGGCGUCGCGAGCUUGAGUUUCACCGGUUCGAGGUAAGUAGUGCUUGUAAAUGAUAUCUUAAGGGUUUGAAACCCAGGAUUUGCACCAUCGUGAUGCUACUUUGAGGUGAGACACGCACCCUAUGACGAGUGCGGGGUCGUUGAUUAUUGGGGAUUUUCAUUUGCUCCGUCCCGAGAGAUGUUUCUACUCUGUUUUCGACAAGACCUUUUUUGAUAAUCAUCCUACUUGGAUUUAUUUGUUAUAUUUCGGCUUCGUGCCAAUUAUUUGAAUCCUCCAGGAAUUGAUAUCGCUGUUUUCACAUAUUUUGCAUAUUAUCUGAUCUCAGUUCAAGGUUAUAAAAAUUGUUUUGCAACUCAGCCAUCUUUCUAAGAUUUGAAAACUUAAAUGAUAUUUCUAAAUGAUAUUUGGGGGCUGAGAACUACUAUUUUACAAAUGCCCAAGGGGCUUGUGAUGAUUUCUGGACUGAUCAUGGAUCGGGCUGCGCGCCGCAGCGAUAUUACAGUGAUAUUGAGGCCGAAAGCCUGGUUGAUGCCACGAGAUGGCUUGAUAAUUGCGCUUAGGCUGUAGGAACUCCUCCGAAGUCCGUACACAUCCCCAGUGAGCGCCGUCGACGUUAAAUGGAUCGGGUUCCACGCCACAGCGAGUACUAGAGUAUGUUGUCAUAUGCAUUCCAUUGUACUCAUGCCUUUGCUCAUGCCCAAGGAACUUGUGUUGAUUUCUGGACUGAGCAUGGAUCGGGCUGCGCAUCACAACGGUAUUACAAUGAUAUUGAGGACGAGAGCCUGGUUUAUGCCACGAGAAGGCUUGAUAAUUACGGUUGGGCUGUAGGUUCCCCUCCGAAGUCUUUACACACCCCAGUGAGAGACGUCGACGUUAAAUGGAUCGGGUUGCACGCCGAAGCGGGUACUAGAGUGUACCGUCAUGUGCAUUGCAUUGUACUCAUGCAUUUGUUCAUUAUAUGUUGUUGUGCUUUUUCUUGAAAUAUUUAUCUGAUGUUCUAGUAUUAUCUGAUCACUCCUAAAGAGGAUAAAAUUAGACAGUGGUAAAUGACACAAAAUGAUACGUGUGGUCAGGUAAUAACGACUGAUCGGUAAUAACACCGUGCAGUCAGGUAACAAUAGAUGACCAUGAACGAGAUUAUGGCUCGAGGGGCAGGGUUUUGUGCAUAGCACCACUAUUUGUUUGAAAUUAUUCUUGCAACUGUUGAAAAUAUCAUUUUCUAGAGAGGUUUAAAACUGAGCCAAGAUAUUUCCAAAGAUUUCACAGUUUUACUGUUUUCUCAAAGGGUUGCAUCGUCCCAUAUAGCAUGAUGGCUUACUUUACGUGAUUUCUUACCGCUCAGUUAUUAUUUAUUUUUAUUACUCACUGAGUUGGAGUACUCAUUUUACUCCCUGCACCUCGAGUGAAGAUGCAGGUAUUGUUCACCCGGUAGCGGGUAUUGAGUUGAUUGAGGGCAUUACUAUUGUAGCUGAGCAGCGUGACCGCUAGCAUUACUAUGUUGUUGGCUUUGUAGUUGUAUUUAGACUUAUAUGCUCAUGACUUGUGACACCCAGGUUUCGGCUGAUUAUAGGUUUAAAUUUCGCUAAAUAAUGUUCUUAAAUCAUCUUUAAAAUUGUUUAUUCAUAUUUAUUUUCUUUUGAAAAAGGCAAAUUAAGGUUGGUUGGCUGGCCUUGUCUUCACGAGAGGCGCCAUCACGACCGGAGCGGGGUUUGGGUCGUGACAAGUUGGUAUCAGAGCCUAGGUUAUAUAGGUCUCAUGAGUCAUGAGCAGGGUUAAUAAAGUCUCGCAGAUCGUUAUGGAGACGUCUGUAUUUAUCCUUGAGAGGCUGCAGAACACUUGGUUACUGGUCAAACGAGUCAUGAAUAGGUUUAGUAGAGUCUCACGGAUCAGUACGGAGACGUCUGUAUUUAUUCUCGAGAGGCUGCAGAACCUUUAGGAAAACUUCACAUUCUUGAAAUCUUAUCGUGCGUCCUUGAUUCAGCUUGAAAGAGUGACUUUUGAAAUUACUUCCACGCAUUCGCAUGUGUGUAUGAGAACUCUGUAUCAGAUGUGCCUUGAUGUCUUGUGAUUUUAUGAUUGAGGGGUGAGACGUGAUCUCUGUGAGUUGAUGUUGGGCUAGUCUAAAGGACUUGAGGCCGGAUGUUUGCCUAUGGCUUGAGCACCGAGGUGGUGAUUUUCUGAGCAAGUGUUUUGAUCUUAUGUAUUCAGUAUUGUCCCUAAUAGUGGGAAUGAUGGCUGGAUAGCUUGUGAUGAGUAUGUUAGUACUGCGUGAUGUUUCUAUAUGACUUGGAAGUUCAAGGAAGAUCCGUUGGGCAGAGGUGGACUAUUAAGUGUAUGAUUUCCACUGUGAUUGGAGGUAUAGCUCCGAGUUAUGGGCGUGUGAAGAAUCUUUUCAGGUUUUCUAGCUGGGAGUGAGGUAGAUUGCACGUUGUGGUAUGAGUUCAGACUCACGAAGACUAAGUGACUGUGUAAUGUCUAUGUCGGUGGAAGGUGUGCAGAAAUGUUAUAUUGAGGCGGAGCAGGUGGGUUAUCUCCUGCUGAGUUUUCUGAAGUGGCAUGAUCCAUAUGUGUAUGUUAGAAUAUCUCAUGUGUAAUUGAAGUGUAUGUGCUGAAUUUGGAAGUUCGGAUGCAUAAGAAAGUGGGUUUAACUGUUACGGGGAUGAAUGCGGGAUUUGCAGAAGUUUUACAUUACUAGACGCUUUGAGUUUUGCAAACUUAUGAAUGAUGGGAGUUCCACGUCGCCAUGGUAUUUUGGCAUCAAUAGAGUAAAAGUAUUAUGAGUUACUGAGUGUAUCUUGAUAUAUGGCUUCGAGCCAAGUUGGGGAGUUUCCUAUUGAUUAGCUAAUUGUACGGUUAUGUGUUAUGUUUGUUCCAGCUUGAGGCUUGCGAGCGAGUUAUCUAUGGUUAGAGUAAAGGAAAGUUUUGACCAGGGUUAUAUUAUGCUUCAUAGAGUAUGAGAAUUUCAGAAUAUCUAGAGUUGUUAUUGGCAAAGAAUGCUCGGUGCUUAGAGCGGGAAGUUGCUUGGUUAUAAUUGGAUGAGGAUUUCAUUCCGCGGUGUCGGACUACCAAUGAGGCACGGGUGGUUAUAUUUUCUUUUGUUUAGGUAAAUUGCAGUGAAUAAGAGAAAAUGACUUGCGAAGAUGGUUCUAAUGUGUUCAAGAUUCUACAUGUAGCAAUGAGGUAUCUUGAAGUAGCAUAUGUGAUUAGGAAGCGAGUUUCAUUGGAAAAAGUCCAAACUUGUGGUUUUUCCAAGUUAAUUGUGGGAUUAUAAAUAUAAGUGUCAGGAAAGUAAAGGUAGCAGAUUUAGAUUUGCAAGAAGUUCUUCAGUGUAAAGUAAUUCGGAAUGUGGUAAUUCUGGGAAUAAUUAAGAGACUAUUCAGCGACUUAUGGGACUUCUAUUUAGGGGUGAUUUGGCUAGAGUAUGUGUUUCAGAAAAAGGGCUACGUGAUUAAAUGGAUGGCAGUUUGAUGGUAUUAUGUAAUUUCUUGUUAGAUCGACUGGUGAUAUUCGGGGUGGCUUGUUGGUACAUGGAAAAUUUUGGAGUAUCUAUCAUGGAAUUACUGGCUAUUAAGGUGUGGUAUGCUUUCGGACGGCGAAAUUGGGAUUUGGUACUAUGAUUCGUGUGCUAUGUGGGUUUGGAGACGGAAGGCAAAUUCAGUCUAUGUUGUGAUUGUGGAUCCUAUGUAUCGGCACCGUGUAACGGCUAUCGAUAUUUGGAGGCCUGAGUGGACCUUUCUUUGUCUGGUAUAUCAGAUUUUGGAUAUGAUAUCGGGGUUUAUAUUGUGUUUCUCAGUGUUGGGUUAUUUUGGAUUAUUCUAUUAUAGUUAUGAUGUAAAUGCCACAGGGUGAGUGGCGAGGUGCGUCAGAGUAUGUUCAAGUAGAGUGGUUUUUGUUUUGAAGAACCAGCGGACGACUGGGAAGGGUUGCUUUUCUUAUUUGUGCCUUCGUGAUGGGUGUCAGUGCAGAGGUUGCUAUCAAUGAUUCAAUUUUGGUGUUGGGGAACUUUUCGAAUGUGUUUCUGGCCGGGCAUAUCGUUGGAGGAAGUUGUGGAUUUUAGUAUUAAUUUUGUGCCGGGCACCGUAUCGUACGACUCUGGCAAGAGUUAUGGUAGUGGAAGGAGCAGCUUCAAGGUUUCUUGGUAAUGAGUUCGUUGAUAAGCUGAUCUCGAUAUGUAUUUAGCUUGAGUUGGCUUGCUUAGCGGCGAAUUGUAUUGUUGAGGGAUAGGUUAAUUCGUCCGAUAAUAAGCUUGUUAGUGAUUUGAGGAGAGCUAUGAGUUGCUUUUCGGUGUUGUUAGAUGUUAUGAUUUGUUGGCUAUGGGCACAUGUGGUGCGGCUCUAUCGGGUAUUCAUAGUGAAAGUUGAGUGGGAAGAGUAAUUGGGUGUUGCUCGGUAAAUGGAGUAUUGUUUAUGACCCAUCGGGUUGCGUGAGUAUGUUAUUAGUUUUACCGUAGGUGUACUGAAUUGCUUUGGUUCCACACAUCAAAUUGUGCGUGGUGUCGAUUUUGAGCAUAGUGAGUUGAGGUAUUUCAUGUGUAACAAUGUUUGGAUAGGAUCGCCCAUUGUAGCAAGGCCACCUGGAUAUAUGACCUUUCGGGGUAGAUUCAGGUGUUCUAAUUCUAAGAUGUGAGACGAGGUCUCAGCCUUGAAUUGUGAUGGUACUGAUGAGCUUGGGAUACAGCUCUUUAAUUUGAGUCAUUUUUCAUGAUUUGAGUAUAUUCAGACCGUUUCUUAUUGGUGCGCGUAUUAUGCAAGUUGUGGCUUAGAUCUGUAUUGAGGCAUCAUAUCACUAGAUUGGUGUGUUGGAUUGGAGGUGAUUGUUGGGGUCACUAAUGAAUACGAACAGAUUUGAUUCCAGCUUGUUGGAAGGAUAAUAUCGAGGUUCGGCUAAAAAUAUGUUGUAGUAUUAGUCAAAAGGGAAGUGGCUUCAUGAAUGGAUGAUCUAAGAAAUGGAUACGGUUUAUUACAUGUUUCAUUUAUCAUUAGCAGUAUAUGAAAAUGUUGGAAUAAGACCUUGGUUGAUAUGAGGUUUUCUACCGGCAUUCGGGUGUGGUAUGCAACUGUUGUGAAUAGAAGUUAUCUUUUCGAGUGUUUGGGUUAUGUAGUAUAUCAUAUGAUUGAGGAUUAUUACAGCUGGUUCGGGCUUAUUAUGAGACUAGAUGUGAGGUUCUGAGCUUGUUAUGGUUUGGGAAAGCGCAAUAUGGUUCAAUGGUAUAUAGACUAGAUGGAUUGUGAAAUUUCAGCUAUGUUGUGUUAUCGGACCUAUGCGAGACACGGUGACGUUCGAUCACCCCCAGGUAUAUGCUUGGUAAGGUCAUUCAGCUAUUAGUUAGCUUCUAGGACAACUUUAGGUAUGCUCGAGGAUGAGCAUUUAUUUUAGUUGGGAAGGAUGUGACGACCCGACACGUCGUCACUUGUGUUAUUGUCUCGCUUCCCCAAUUUGUAUGCUUCUUCUCUUGUUUUCGAUAUUUGGUGUGUUAGAGUUAAUCCGGAUUGGUUUUGUAAGGAAAAAAGAUACUUAGUCUCUUUAACGAAGGUUUGGUUUGGAAAAGUCAACCAGAUGUUGACUUAUGAGUUAGAAGGCCCAGAUGUGAUUUCCGGUGAUUCGGUUAGCUUCGGGGGAUGAUUUGUUACUUAGGAGCUUGAUCGGAAGUGGUUUUGGAGGUCCGGCGUAAAGCUAGGCUUGAAUUGGCGAAGUUUGUAUUUUGGCGAUAUCCGGUUGAUAGAUGAGAUUUUGAUCUGAGGGUCGGAAUGGAGUUCUGAAGUUUGAAUAAUUUUUUUAUGUGAUUUGGGAUGUAUGUGAAAAUUUUCAUGUCAUUCGGAGGUGAUGUGGUUGGGUUUUUUUAUCAAAUGCAUGUUUCGGAAGUUUUUUGAGAACUUAGGGUUGAAUUCGAUUUGAAUUGAUGGUUUUGAUGUUGUUUGAGGUGUUUUGUUGAUUGGAACGAGUUUGAAUGAUAUUUUAGGAUGUGUUGGUUCUUUUGGUUGAGGUCUCGGGGGCCUCGGGUGAGUUCCGGGUGGUCAAUCGGACCAUUUUUGUGUUUGAGAGAUUGCAGAAAAAUCAGCUGAAUUGUUGCAGAUGUUUUGGCCUUCGCGUUCGUGAAGGGAAGUUCUGUAAGCCUCACGUUCAUGAGGGUCAAUACCGCGUUCGCGAAGUCUUGUGAGGGACUUCAUCUCAUUCGCGGGUAUGUGUACGUGAUCACAAAAGAGGAUUUGGGGCUGAUGGUCGGUUAUUCAUCACGUUCGCGUGGAAGCGAACACGUUUUCGAAGGUCAAGGCGCGGAAGCAUCAUGUUCGCGAAUGGUAUGUCGCGUUCGCGUAAGGUAAAAUUUCUUCAGUGUAAUUUUGUGCUACGCGUUCGCGAGUGUUGGACAGCGUUCGCAUAGAAGGAAUUCCUGUAGCUGGGCAGAAUGUUUGAAAACAUUUCAUCCGUGAUUUUGGGGGACAUUUACCCCAUUGUUGAUCUUUUUUACAGCUUUUUGAAGGAAAUUGAAGAGGGAUCAAGGAGAAUCGAUUGGAGGUAAUAAUUUUGAACUCAAAGCUCAUUCUAAUUCUGUAAUCCAUCAAGAAAUUCAUGGAAAUUAAGCCUAAAAUCGAUGAACUAGGGCUUGAGAUUUUGAGAUUUUAAAUUGGGAUUUGAUGGGUCAUUUGAGCUCGGAUUUGGGAGUUCUUGGUAUGUAUGAACUCAUGUUAAGAUGAGGAAUCCAUUGAUGGAACUUUUCAAUUUUCGGAGAAGUGGGCCCCGUGCUUGGGUUUUGCUAGUUUCGAGAUUUUUGCUAUUUUUCGAUUGUUUUCGAUUGGGUAUUGUUCCUUCGUGAUGUAUUCGCUCUGAUUUUUGUUAGAUUUGACACGUGUGGAAGCCUAUUGGUGGAGCAAAGGCGUCGCGAGCUAGAGUUUCACCGGUUCGAGUUGAGUAAUGCUAGUAAAUGAUAUCCUGAGGAUUUGAAACCCCAUAUUUGCACAUCGUAGUGCUAUAUUGAGGUGAGACACGCACCCUAUGACGAGUGCGGGGUCAUUGGUUAUUGGGGAUUGUAACUUGGUCCAUCCCGAGAGAUGUUUCUACUGUGUUUUCGACUAGAACUUAUUUUAUAAUUAUCCUACUUGGAUUUAUUUGUUAUAUUAGGGCUUCGUGCCAUUUAUUUGAAUCCUCGGGGAAUUGAUAUCACUAUUUUCACAUAUUUUGCAUAUUAUCUUAUCUCAGUUCAAGGUUUUAAAUACUUUUUUGCAACUCAGCCAUCUUUCUAAGAUUUGAAAACUUAAAUGAUAUUUCUAAAUGAUAUUUGGGGGCUGAGAACUACUGUUUUACAAAUACCCAAGGGGCUUGUGAUGAUUUCUGGACUGAGCAUGGAUCGUGUUGCGCUCCACAACGGUAUUACAGUGAUAUUGAGGUCGAGAUCCUGGUUAAUUAUAUUGACAUUGAGGCUGAGAGCCUGGUUGAUGCCACGAUAUGACUUGAUAAUUGCGUGUGGGUUGUAGGAGCCCCUCCGAAGUCUGUACAUACCCCUAGUGAGCGCCAUCAACGUUAAAUUUAUCAGACUGCACGCCGCAAUGGGUACUAGAGUGUAUCGUCAUAUGCAUUGCAUUGUACGCAUGCCUUUGUUCAUUAUCUGUUGUUGUGAUUUUUCUUGAAAUAUUUAUUUGAUGUUCUGGUAUUAUCUGAUCACUCCUAAAUAGGAUAAAUUUAGACAGUGGUAACAAUGACACUAAAUGAUGUGUUUGGUCAGGUAACAACGACUAACUAGUAAUUACAUUGUGCGGUCAGGUAACAAUGGCUGACCAUGAAGGAGAUUAUGGCCUGAGGGGCGGGGUUAUGUGCAUAGCGGCACUAUUUGUUUGAAAUUAUUCUUGCAACUGUUGAAAAUAUCAUUUUCAAAAGAGGUUUAAAACUGAGUCAAGAUAUUUCCAGAGAUUUCACGGUUUCACUAUUUUCUCAAAGGGCUACAUUGUCCCAUAUAGUAUGAUGGCUUACUUUACGUGAUUUCUUACCGCUCAGUUAUUAUUUAUUUUUAUCACUCACUGAGUUGAAGUACUCACUUUACUCCUUGCACCUUGUAUGCAGAUGCAUGUAUUGUUCACCCGGUAGCGGGACUUGAGCUGAUUUCCUCCUUUGGUUCUAAAUUUUAUUGUGUAUGUUGUUGGCCCUGUAGUUGUAUUUAGACUUCUCUAGAUACUCGUGACUUGUGACACCCCGGUUUGGGCUGUGUAUAGGUUAAACUUCCGCUGAAUAAUAUUAUCAAAUCAUCUUUAAAAUUGUUUAUUCAUGUUUAUCUACUUUUGAAAAAGGCAAAGUUAGGUUGGUUGGCUGGUCUUGUCUUCACGAGAGGCUCCAUCACGACCGGAGCGGGGUUUGGGUCGUGACAAGUUGGUAUUAGAGCCUAUGUUACUAGGUCUGACGAGUCAUUAGCAGGUUUAGUAGAUUCUCGUGGAUCGGUACGGCAACAUCUGUAUUUAUCCUCGAGAGUCUGUAGAACCUUUAGGAAAACUUCACAUUCUUGAAAACUUAUCGCGCGUGCUUGAUUCAGCUUGAAAGAGUAACUCUUGAAAUUCCUUCCACGCAUUUUCAUUUGUGCAUGAGCGCUCAGUAUCAUAUGUGCCUUGGUGGCUUGUGAUUCUCUAAUUGAGGGGCGAGACGUGAUCUAUGUGAGUUGAUGUUGGGCCAGUCUGAAGGACCUGAGGCCAGAUCUUUGCCUAUGGCCUAAGCACCGAGGUGCUGAUUGAGUAAGAAAGUGUUUUGAACUUAUGUAUUCAGUAUUGUCCCUAAUAGUGGGAAUGAUGGCUGGAUAGCUUAUGAUGAGUAUGUUAGUACUGCCUGAUGUUUCUAUAUGACUUGGUAGUGUCAAGAAAGAUCUGUUGGGUGAGAGGUCGACUAUUAAGUGUAUGGUUUCCAUUGUGAUUGGAGGUGUAGCACCAAGCUAUGGGCGUAUGAAUAAUCUUUUCAGGUCUCCUAGUUGGGGGUGAGGUAGAUUUCACGUUUCGGUAUGAGUUCAGACUCAGGAAGACUAAGUGACUAUGUAAUGUGCUAUAUUGAGGCGGAGCAGGUGGGUUAUCUCCUGCGGAGUGUUCUGAAGUUGCGUGAUUCUUAUGUGUAUGUUGGAAGAUCUUAUGUGUAUUUGAAUAGUGCGUGCUAAAUUUGAAUGUUCGGAUGCUUACGAGAGUGGAUUUAACUGUUGAGGGGAUUAAUGCAGGAUUUGAAGAAGGUUUACAUUACUAGACGAUAUGAGUUUCGCAAACUUAUGAAUGAUGGGAGUUCCAUCUUGCCAUGGUAUUGUGGCAUCAAUAGAGUAAAAGUGUUAUGAUUUAUUGAGUGUAUCGAUAUAUGUCUUUGAGCUAAGUUCGGGAGUUUGCUAUUGAUUAGCUAAUCGUACGGUUAUGUGUUAUGUUGGUUCCAGCUUGAGGCUUCAAGCGAAUUAGCUAUGGUUAGAGUAAAGGAAAAUUUUGACCUGGGAUGCAUUAUGCUUCAUAAGGUAUGAGAAUUUUCGAAUAUCUAGAGUUGUUGUUGGUAAAGAAUGUUUGGUUCUUUGAGCGGGAAGUUUCUUGGUUGUAAUGGGAUGAGGAUUCUAUUCUGCGGUAUCGGAGUGCCAGUGAGACACGGGUGGUUCUAUUUUUGUUGGGUCAGGUAAAUUGUAGUGAAUAAGAGAAAUGACUUGCGAAGAUGGUUCUAGUGUGUUCAAGAUUCUACAUGUAGCAAUGGGGUAUCUUAAAGUGGCAUAUAUGAUUAGGAAUCGAGUUUCAUUGGAAGAAGUCCAAACUUGUGGUAUUUCCAUGUUAAUUGUGGGAUUCGAAGUAUCAAUGUCAGGAAAGUAAAGGUAACAGAUUUAGAUUCGCAAGAAGUUCUUCAGAGUAAAGUAAUUGGGAAUGUGGUAAUUCUUGGAAUAAUUGAGAGAGUAUUCAGCGACUUAUGGGACUUAGAAAGUGUGGUUUUGCGCUUGGGUCUCAUUGGAUAAGCCUGGGUCGAUUAGUUGCGGUGCUAUAGCAAGAAGAGAUAUCAAUUGAAAAUGAACCAGAAGGAAAUUUAGAAAGAUGGUGCAGCUUGAUAGUAGACUGGAUCGGCAUGGUAAGCAUAUGAUCAAUUCCUUGUAUGUGUUAGAGGUAAUGAGUUCGUACAAGUGUUUUGCAGCAAUGCACUUGGGCUUCGACGACUUGCUUAGCUUGGUAUAGUUUGAAGGAUUCAGUACUGGAAGUUUUGUUGGUGCAACGGAACGGGAAGAGUUGUUGUUGGGUUUUAUCGUGGUUUGGAGAUGUAUGUUUUCUAUGGCCUUUAUUCUAGAUGAGAUCAAUGGAAAACUCUUGACUAGUUGAGUGCAUAGAUGUCUGUGGCUAGGAGGGGAAGUAAGGUUUUCAUGUAUCCUCGAAUGGUAUGUUAUACGCGUUAUGUUGAGGAAGACCGAGACUUGCGUGUGUUAGAUUACAGUUUAAUUCAAAAAGGAAGCUCACAAAAUGCUUAGGCGGUGGGUAGUCUCAGAUAAUCAAGGAAAAUGGUACUGCUAUUCAGGAGUGAUUUGGCUAGAGUAUGUGUUUCAAAAAAAGGGCAAUGUGAUUAAAUGGAUGGAACUUCGAUGGUAUUACGGACUUUCUUGUUAGAUCGAUUUGUGAUCUUCAGGUUGUCUUGGUGGCACAGGGAAAAUUUUGGAGUAUCUAUCAUAGAAUUAUUGGAUAUUAUGGUGUUGUAUGCUUUCAGACUGUGUAAUUGAUUUGGUACUAUGAUUUGUGUGCUAUAUGGGUUUGGAGAUGGAAGUUCUCAAAUUUAGGCUAUGUUGUGAUUGUGGAUCGUGUGUAUCGGCACCGCGUAAAGGAUUUCGAGAUUAGGAGGCCCAAGUGAACCUUUCUUUGUCUGGUAUAUCAGAUUUUGGAUAUGAUAUCGGGGUUUAGACUGUGCUUCUCAAUAUUGGGUUAUUUUGGAUUGUUGUGCUAUGGGCUAUGCCAGAAAUGCCACAGGGUGAGUGGCGAGGUGCGUCGGUGUAUGUUCUAGUAGAGUGGUUUCUAUUUCGAAGAACCUAUUGAUGACUGGGAAGGGUUGCUUUUCUUAUUUGGGCCUUCGUGAUGGGUGUCAGUGUAGAGGUUGCUAUCAAUGAUUCAGUUCUAGUGUUUAGGGACUUUUUGAAUGUGUUUCUGGCCGGGCAUAUCGUCGGUCAAAGUUGUGGAUUUCGGUAUUAAUUUGGUGCCGGGCACCGUAUCGUACGACUCCGGCAAGAGUUAUGGUAUUAGAAGGAGCAGCUUCAGGUUUUCUUGGUAAUGAGUUUGUUAGUAGGCCGAUCUUGAUGCAUUUUUAUCUUGAGUUGUCUUGGUCGGCCCCAAAUGAUGUUGUUGAGGGAUAGGUUGAUUCGAUCGUUAUUGAGCUUGUUAGUGAUCUAAGGAGUGCUAUGAGUUGCUUUUCAGUGUUGUGAGACGUUAUGAUUUGUUGGUUAUGGGCACGUAUGGUGCGGUUCUAUUGGGGAUUCAUAGUGAAAGUCAAGUGGGAAGAGUAAUUGGGUGUUGCUCGAUAAAUGGAGUAUUGGUUAUGACUUAUCGGGUUGCAUGGGUAUGUUAUUUGUUUCAUUAUGGGUGUAAUGAAUUGCUUUAGUUUCGGACAUCAAAUUAUGCGUGACUGUUGAUUUUCAGCAUAGAGACUUGUUUCAUGUGUAAAGGUGUUUGGAUAGGAUCGCCCAUUGUAGCGAGGCCACGUGGAGAUAUGAACUUUUGGGGUAGACUCAUGUGUUCUAAUUCUAUGAUGUGAGACAGGGUCUUAGCCUUGUGUUGUGAUGGUACUUAUGAGCUUGGGGUACAGCUCUUUCGUUUGAGUCAAUUUUCAUGAUUUGAGUAUGUACAGACCGUUUCUUUUUGGUGCACGUAUUAUGCAAGUUGUAGCUUAGGCAUAUAUUGAGGCGUCAUAUCACCAGAGUGGUGUGUUGGAUUCGAGGUGAUCAUUGGGGUCACUAAUAAAUACGAAUGAAUUUGAUUCCAGCUUGUUGGAAGGAUAAUAUCGAGGUUCGGCUCGAAAUCUGUUGUGGUAUUAGUCAAAAGGGAAAUGGCUUCAUGAAUGGUUGAUCUAAGAAAUAGUUACAGUUUAUUGCGUGUUUCAUUUAUCGUUGGAAGUAUAUGAAAAUGUUAGAAUAAGACCUUGGUUGAUAAGAGGUUUUCUACCGGUAUUCGGGUGUUGUAGGCAACUGCUAUGAAUAGAUGUUAUCUUCGAGUGUUUGGGUUAUGUAGUAUAUCAUAUGAUUGAGGGUUAUUACAGCUAGUUUGGGCUUAUUCUGAGUGUAGAUGUGAGGUUCUGAUCUUGUGUAUGAUUUCGGAAAGCAUAAUGUGGUUCUAUGGUUUAUGGACUAGAUGGAUUGUGUAAUUUUAGCUAUAUUGUGUUAUCGGACCUAUGCAAGAUACGGUCACGUGGGAUCACCCCCGGAUAUAUGCUUGGUAAGGUCAUUCAUCUAUUGGUUGGUUUCUAGGACAACUCUGGAUACGCUCGAGGAUGAGCGUUCAUUUAAGUUGGGGAGGAUGUGACGACCUGACCCGUUCUCUCAUGUAUUUCUGUCCCGUUUCCCCUUCAUGUCUCAUUAUCGGUAUUUGGUGUGUUAGAGUUAAUUCGGAUUGGUUUUGAAAGGAAAUAAGACACUUAGUAUCUGUAAUGAAGGUUUGGUUGGGAAAAGUCAAUCGGACGUCGACUUAUGAGUUAGAAGGCUCGGAUGUGACUUCCGGUGUUUCGGUUAGCUUCGGGGGAUGAUUUGUGACUUAGUAUUUUGAGCGGAAGUGAUUUUGGAGGUCCGGCGUAAAGGGCUUGAAUUGGCAAAAAUAGCAUUUUAGCAAUAUCCAGUUCAACAACAACAACUACUACUACCCAGUAUAGUCCCACAAAGUGGGGUCUGGGAAGGGUAAUAUGUAGACGCGCCUUACCCCUACCCGAAAGGGCAGAGAGGCUGCUUCCAGUCGACCCUCGACUCAGUGAAGGAAAGGAAAAACAAAUACAAAAACAAAAGAACAUUAGUAACUCCAGCAGAAAUAGCGUAAAUAAUUAUCUAAACAUAAGAAUCAAAAAUCAAAUAGCAUGCAAUAAUAUCACACAGUAACUACCAUAAAUAACUAUAAUAAGUAAGACACAGUCCAAUACACAAAUCAUCUAUGGAUAGCCCUGCAAAGCCUCACCCAACCCCGGGUGAGGGGUACGAAAAACUCUAGGAGCCCUUAUCCUACAACCCUGAUGCUAGACCUCCAGACUUUCCUAUCAAGGGUCAUGUCCUCGGAAACCNNNNNNNNNNNNNNNNNNNNNNNNNNNNNNNNNNNNNNNNNNNNNNNNNNNNNNNNNNNNNNNNNNNNNNNNNNNNNNNNNNNNNNNNNNNNNNNNNNNNNNNNNNNNNNNNNNNNNNNNNNNNNNNNNNNNNNNNNNNNNNNNNNNNNNNNNNNNNNNNNNNNNNNNNNNNNNNNNNNNNNNNNNNNNNNNNNNNNNNNNNNNNNNNNNNNNNNNNNNNNNNNNCUCGCAUCUUCUCGUCCACCGGGGCCACCCCCACCUUCUCUCGAAUAACUUCAUUCUUAAUCUUAUCUAACCUGGUGCGCCCGCACAUCCACCUGAGCAUCCUCAUCUCCGCAACCUUCUCUGAACAUGAGAGUUCUUCACUGGACAGCACUCCGCCCCAUACAACAUGGCAAGUCUAACCACAACUCUAUAAAAUUUCCGCUUGAGUUUUUGUGGAACUUUCUUGUCACACAGGACUCCUGAUGCAAGUCUCCAUUUUGACCACCCCGCUCCUCCUCUAACCUCUCAAUAACACCGACCCUCGUCUCCUCUAUCAUGACUAUGUCAUCAGCAAAUAGCAUACACCAAGGCACAUCCCCUUCAUAGAUGAAGUUUUUGAUCCAAGGGUCGGAAUGGAAUUUCGAGAGUUUCAAUAACUUUGUUAUGUGAUUUGGGAUGUUUGUGCAAAAUUUCAUGUCAUUCAGAAGUGAUUUGGUUGGGUUUUUGAUCAAAUGCAUGUUUCGAAAGUUUUUUGGAGAACUUAUGCUUGAAUUCGAUGUGAAUUGAUGAUUUUGAUGUUGUUUGAGGUGUUUUGUUGAUUGUAACGAGUUUAAAUGAUGUUUUAGGAUGUGUUGGUACUUUUGGUUGAGGUUCCGGGGGCCUCAGGUGAGUACCGGGUGGUCAAUCAGACCAUUUUUGUGUUUGAGAGAUUGCAGAAAAAUCAGCUGAAGUGUUGCAGAUAUUUUGGCCUCCACAUUCGCGAAAAAGAGUUCGUGUUCGCGGAGGGAUGAGUAUUGUAAGCCUCGCAUUCGCCAGGUUCAAUGCCGCAUUUGCAAAGUCUUGUGAGGGACUUCAUCGCGAUCACGGGUGUGUGUACGCUAUUGCGGAAGAGGACUUGGGGCUGAUGGCCGGUUAUUCAUCACGUUCGCGUGGAAGCGAACUUGUUCGCGUGAAAGUGAACGCUUUCGCGAAGGUCAAGGCUGUGAAGCAUCGUGUUCGCUACUGGUAUGUUGCAUUCGCAUAAGGUAAAAUUUGGUCAGUGUAAUUUUAUGCUACGCGUUCGCGAGUGUUGGACUGCGUUCGCAAAGAAGGAAUUCCUGUAGCUGGGCAGAAUGUUUUAAACAUUUCAUCUGCGAUUUUGGGGUUCAUUUACCCCAUUGUUGAUCUUUUUGUGAGCUUUUUGAAGGAAAUUGAAGAGGGAUUCAAGGAGAAUCAAUUGGAGGUUAAAAUUUUGAACUCAAGACUUGUUCUUAUUGUGUAAUCCAUCUAGAAAUUCAUGGAAAUUAAGCCUAAAGUUGAUGAACUAGGGCUUAGGAUUUUGAGAUUUUAAAUUGGGAUUCGAUGGGUCAUUUGAGCUCAGAUUUGGGAGUUCUUGGUAUGUAUGAACUCGUGGCGAGAUAAGGAAUCCGUUGAUCAGAAUUUUUUAAUUUUUUGGAAGUGGUCUUGGGGCUCGGGUUUUGUUAGUUUCAAGAUUUUUGCUAUUUUUCGGUUGUUUUCGAUUGGAUAUUGUUCCCUUGUGAUGUAUUCGUUCUGAUUUUGGUUAGAUUCGACUUGCGUGGUGGCAGAUUUAAGGGGCAAAGGUGGUAUGAGCUAGAGUUUUACCGGUUCAAGGAGAGUAAUGCUUGUAAAUAAUAUCAUGAGGGUUUGAAACCCCGGAUUUGCACAUCGUAGUGCUAUAUUGAGGUGAGACACGCACCCUAUGACAAGUGCGGGCUUGUUGGUUAUUGGGGAUUGUGGCUUGGUCCGUCUCGAGAGAUGUUUCUACUGUGUUUUUGACUACAUCUUAUUUGAUAAUCAACCUACUUGGAUUUAUUUGAUGUAUUUGGGCUUCGUGCCGAUUAUUUGAAUCCUCCAGGGACUGAUAUCACUGUUUUCGCAUAUUUUGCAUACUAUUUGAUCUAAGUUCAUGGUUUUAAAUACUGUUUUGAAACUUAGUCAUCUUUCUAAGUUUUGAAAACUUAAAUAGUAUUUCUAACUGAAAUUUGGGGGCUGAGAACUACUAUUUUACAAAUUCCCAAGGGGAUUGUGAUGAUUUCAGGAUUAAGCAUGGAUGGGGCCACGCACCGCAGCGGUAUUACAGUGAUAUUGAGGCAGAGAGCCUGGUUAAUUAUAUUAAUAUUGAGGCCGAGAGCCUAGUUGAUGCCACGAGAGGGCUUGAUAAUUGUGUUUGGGCUGUAGGAGCCGCUCUGAAUUCUGUACAUACCUCCAGUGAGCGCCGUCUAUGUUAAAUGGAUCGGGUUGUAUGCCGCAGCAGGUAACAGAGUGUACCGUCAUAUGCAUUACAUUGUACCUCAUGCCUUUGUUCAUUAUUUGUUGUUUUGCUUUUCUUGAAAUAUUUAUCUGUUGUUUGGUAUUAUCUGAUCACUCCUAAAGAGGAUAAUUUAGACAGUGGUAACAAUGACACUGAAUGAUACGUUUGGUUAGGUAACAACGACUGAUCAGUAAUAACAUCGUGCGGUCAGGUAACAAUGGCUGACCAUGAACGAGAUUAUGGACCGUGGGGCGGGGUUCUGUGCAUAACGGCACUAUUUGUUUGAAAUUAUUCUUGCAACUGUUGAAAAAAUCAUUUUCAAAAGAGGUUUAAAACUGAGCCAAGAUAUUUCCAAAGAUUUCACAGAUUCAUUGCUUUCUCAAAGGGUUACAUUGUCCCAUAUAGCAUGAUGGCUUACUUUACGUGAUUUCUUAUAGCUCAGUUAUUAUUUAUUUUUAUUACUCACUGAGUUGGAGCACUCACUUUACUCCCUGCACCUUGCGCGCAUAUGCAGGUAUUGUUCACCCGGUAGCGGGUUUUGAGCUGAUUGAGGGCAUUACUAUUGUAGUUGAGCAGAGUGACCGCUAGCAUUCGCGGCAACAAAUUUUCUCCUUUGGUUCUAAAUUUUAUUCUGUAUGUUGUUGGCAUGUAGUUGUAUUUAGACUUCUCUAGAUGCUCGUGACUUGUGACGCCCGAUUUGGGCUGUGUAUAGGUUGAACUUCCGCUAAAUAAUGUUAUUAAAUCAUCUUUAAAAUUGUUUAUUCAUGUUUAUCUACUUUUGAAAAAGGCAAAUUAAGGUUGGUUGGCUGGCCUUAUCUUCACGAGAGAUGCCAUCACGACUGGAGCGGGAUUUGGGCCGUGACAUAAAUAAUUGACUUUUAGGGCCAAUCAAUAUAGAUUAAUCCUUAAGGAUGUAAAAGUAAAAUUUAAUUUAUCCCCUUGACAGUUAAGCAUUUGAAAAACUAUGUUCCCUUUGUCUUUUGAAUGUGAAACAACAACCUCCUUGUACUUAAACCUCAAAGGGAUAAAAAAAAAAUUGCCAGCAGUAAAAAUAAAAAGUUACUCUUUUUGGAGGGAAUAUUUUUGGCGUAAAAUUUUAUUUGCAUAAGUUUUUUGGUACUUAUAUUAAUUUAAUGGAAGGAACUGAAAAAUAUUCCAAUAUAUUCAUAGUUUCUAAGGUGGUGCCUUAUAGAAUGGUCUAAAACUCUAAAGCCAUUAGGGACAGGCACAUUCUACUGACAACAUGAUUUUAUAUGUUUGAAGCUUGAAGUACAAUGGAAUUUGCGGUAAGAAAUGUCAUUUUAUUCCUUUGGAAUUAAUAGCGGAGCUACAAUUUAUAUCUAGGUGAUUCAAAAUACAAAUAAGUGAAUAUAAAAGAAUAUUUUUGAUCUAAUAUAUAUAAUAUAAUUUUUUAAUUAAAAAAAAUCAAACGAAUAAUAUACCGUCACUCUAGCUCCGCCCAUGUCUAGAAACAAAGACAAAUGCCCUUGUACGGGAACAAGAAGAACUCUAAGGGGGAGAUGAGAGACCCUUAAAAUUUACUUCUAUCUUUUGAUUGCAAGGGGUUGUCUUUCUGUUAAAAAAAAGUGAAUGGGGUAUAGUUUUCUACGAAAUUUAUAUUUUGUGUCUCAUAUAAUUGACGCUAGUUGUGUGAGCGCUCUUUUUUGUCUCACAAUUUUGUGGUCCUAAAAUUUUAUGAAUUUAAAUAUGUAAGAUAUUUAUCCCAAUAUGUGCGAGAUAAAAAAGACCUCACACAACUAAUGUCAAAUAAUAUUAACUCAUUUUCUCCCCUUUAAACGUUGAGGCUAAAAUCACAUUUUAUAUAUAUAUAUAUAUGUAUAUAUAUAUAUAUGUAUAUAUAUAUAUAUAUAUAUGUAUAUAUAUAAUUAUAAAAGCAUGAAUACAAAGUCGGUUUACAGAAUAAACUUAUAACAUUAAGCAUAAUAAAAGGACAUAACUGAAAUUCUAGAUAUUAGCCUUAUAAUCCUAUUAAUUUUAGGACAUAAUAUUACAUGAAUCCUAUUAGUAUAAUUAUACUAAUAGUAUGUAUUCUAUUAGCAUUCCUUUUGUUAACUAAUAAUUUUAGCAUGUAUCCUUCCUAUUAGCAUUCCUUUUAUUACCUAAUAGCACGUUAUUAUGUUUCUUUUUAAUAUAAACUUUCAACGUAGAGAUAUUUUUAAUCAUAUAAUCCUAUUAAUUUUAAGAUAUACUUCUUAAAAUUUUCUAUUUGUAAUUCAAUUUGAAAAAAUUUUAUGAUGUUACUAAUUGAAUUUGAGAAUGUAUUAUAUCAUGCAAUCUAUUUAGAAAAAGAAGAGUCUAUAUCUAUAUCUAUAUCUAUAUUAUUAUAAAAGUACAAAUAAUUUAUGCUAAAUAUUUAACGAUUAAGAUAUCCUUAAAAUAUUGAUUGAAUUUUGUGCCCUUAAAUAUUUAUAUAAUUUAAGCAUAUAAUUAUAAAUCACCUACUGCAAGAAUUUUUUUCCGAUUUAAAUUAUACAUACGCCAAGCAAAAAGGGAAAACGUGGGAAGGUGAAUUACUCCUAUCCAAAUUAAUUUUGGAUUCAUCCUCCAGCACCAAUUCGUUGCUACCCCAUCUCACUUAUUAUACAAUAAUAAACUGGUUAAAAAUCAAUAAUUAAAAAUACGAAAAAAUAGAUAAGUGCCAAGCGGCAAUAUCCACUUUACAUAGUUUAUUACUUAUUCUUUUUUUUUUCCUAAGAUAAUGAAGUAAAUAACAUUAAUAGGUUAGAAUGUUAUGAUAAAAUAUAAUUCAAAUAAAGAGAGAUUGUCUUCAAAAUUUUCGUUAAUAUCAAACUUCUAAUCAUUUAAUUCGCUAGAAUUUUAUUAUAAUACUAAUAUGAAUCGAGAGAGAUUUGGUCUUUAAAGUUUUAGUUAAUGUCAAGGUUUUAAAUAUUAAAAAUAUAAUUAAAUGACUCAAAUGAAAGCGUAAAUUCUUUUGAACUUUCGACGAAUGGUCUUUAAAGUUUUAGUUAAUGUCAAAGUUUUAUAUAUUAAAAAUAUGAUUAAAUGACUCAAAUGAAAGCGUAAAUUCUUUUGAACUUUUAAUGAACAUGAUUAAAAAAACAUAAGUAUUGCAUAUGAAGGUAAAGUUUUGGUACAUAUUUUAAAACUCAAGAUUUUGUAUCCAAUUUAAUACUUACGCCGUCUUUGAAUUUUGUCGUGCGUUUAUCGAUUUAUUUCAAUUCUUUUAAAAUCUUUAAUUAUUGACCAAUUGCAUUUAUUGUUAUCGAGUUUAUCUAUUAGUUCAAAUAAUAAAAUAAUUAGGUAAAAUUCAAUUGAUUUUAAGGUCUUAAACAUUAAGACUUCAUAUAUUGUAUUCCAAAUGAAGAAAGAUUUGAUAGGCGAAAUGUUACUUGAUUUCAAAUUCCUAAAUUAAGUAUAUAAUUUAAUACUAUUUUAGCCAAAGUGAACUUAAUUACAAAGGCAAAUAAAAUUUCGCUAAGGGAUUUCGUACUUUUAAUAUAAAUAUAGCUUUAUAAAAAUGGCUCAUGUGUUUUGAUCCAGUGAAUAAAGGUAAUACAUAUAAAUCAUUUACGGUUAAAUUAAUUUUAUGUUUUUCUUAGUAUUUCGAAUUGCAGCCAUUAACUUUCUUUUUGGUCAGUCUUUUUCUAGAUUAUGUAUUCCACAAGUUUCAUGUUGAUAAAUCAAUGGAGUAUCUGGUGGCUACUUUUGCUUACCAUUGAAACGACUCGAUAUUCCAAUGUAUUCAAAUUGUAUUUUAAAUCUAAUAGUGUAAAUUCUUUUUACACUAUAGUUUAAUAUUGUAUAGCAGGAUAUUGUAUAUUUUAUGGGUUAAAAGCUUAUUAUUUGUGCUUAACUUUUGAACGGCCUAAUAUUAUCAAGAAAAGUCUCAUUGAUUGUUUAUUAUUGUUAGAUUCAAAUAUAAUACAUUUCAGAUUACCAGCUUAAUUUAGUUUACAGAAGACGAAUUAAUCGAUAUAUGUAUAUGGUGUAUUUGAGAAAAUAAUGAUAGAUUUUAAAAGGUAAAUUUUUUAAAUAUAAUUAUUUGUUGAUAAAAUUAUCAUAUUUAGAACUUUUUCUAAUAUUGAAAACUUUGAAAUCAAUUCGUAUUUUAUAUUUGAAACUUUUGAGUAACUUUUAACUAUGGGUAGAUUGUCGUAUUUUAUCUGCUCUAGAAAAUAUUUGGCUAAAGAAUCCUUAAAUGAAAGGGGAAAACGCCUCAAUUAGAAAAGUGAUGGUCUGCAUUUUACCAUAAAUUUACAAUAAAACCAAAAAAUUCACGUCCUAAUAUCAUGAUAGUUUUUUUGUAAAUCAUUAUUUUAAGUCACGUCGUAAAAUAAAUAUUAGGACAUAUAUAAAGAAUAAAAAUCAAAGUAACAAACAUCCUCAAACUGUCUAUUAAGAUUCAAGUUAUGUUGGUUAAUUAUUUUAUCGUUCUCUUUUUAGUUAUAAGACCCCACGUGCGAGGCACGUGAAAUAGAGACUAUAUAUAUAUGUGUGUGUGUGUGUGCAUAUGUGUGUGUGUGUAUAUAUAUAUAUACACAGACCUUGCAAUGAUUGUGAAGAGUAACUUCGAGUGCAGUCAGUGAUUCAUACCCCUCUGUAAGAAUUUAGAAAGUUACAAUAUGAUUUAUGUAUAUAAUGUAUUUAAUUUUAAUAGAAUGGUAUAAACUAGAAACAAAAAUAAAAGAAAAAAGCUUAAAUUAGUAAGGGAUAAUUUAAAAAAUAUAAAUUUACGGUGAGAAUAGUUUUAUUUUGAAUAAAUUAAUUUUUACUUAUGUUUCUGCUUUUUGGAAGAAGUUAGAAUUUUCUGCUUCUUUCCAAAAGCAGAAAAACUAUUUUUGAUGCUGGCCAAAAGUACUUCUCUAUAUUAGCCAAACAACUUAAAUUUUUUAAAAAGUACUUUUUUAGAGAUAAAAAAAAGUACUUUUGGCCUCCCAGAAGCUUGACCAAAUAGGCUCUAAAUCAGAGUUCACACUCGCUAUUGCUAUUAGGGUCUACGUGGAAAGUCAUCGGUAAUUGGAAUUAGUAAAUUUAUUAGGGUAGUAAUUAUACAAUCUAGUAAUUAUAUAGUAUUGUAAUCAUAAUGAUAUGUUUGCUUAUCAUAAUAUAAUUAUACUGUAAUUAUAAGUGUACUGUUUGGUUGUACAUGUAUAAAUUUUAAAUAUAAAAUUAAUUAUCAAAAAUUAAAAGUUAAGAUUUAACAAAUAUUAACCUUUAUAAAUAAUAUUCAAUUUUACAUUUAAGAUCGAUAUUAUUUAUUGAAAAUAUAUAAUUAAUAAUCAUAUGUUUGUAACUAAUAUUGUAAAAAUAAUUAAUAUAUUUUUAAAAUUAAUAAUAUUGCUUUAAUAAAUUAUAAGGACACUACAUGCUUGAUAAAAUGAUUAAUAUUUAUAAAUAUAACACCAUAAUAUUACUCAAGUAUUUUACGAAAAAAUAAUUUAUCAACUUUAACUGAAAAAUAAGUGGCAUGCAAUCUGAAUUGAAUACUACUAAAGCAAAUAUUGGAAUCGAAAAUAAAAAAUGUACACUGCAUGGAAUCAUAAAGGUUAAAAAAAUAUUCUUUAAAUAUUAAAAAGUAAACUAUUAUUUUAACAUAGUUAAGUUUGCACAUAACCUCAUCCAAUAAUAAAGUUCAACUUCAAUGACAUCACUCAUUGUAAGUCAAGCUUGUGGAUGACUUAAUCUUUCUAAGAUUACAUGGUAUAACUUUUCAGAAAAAGUAGAAUAAUACAUAGUUAAAUGUAAUAAGAAAAAUAAAGAAAAAUAAUUAAGAAAGAACAAAAUAUGGGAAAUUAUAUAGAAACACGAGAAGUAAAGGUUGGAAAUAAGAAAAUAAAUAAUGUGAAAACUAAUAUUUGAAAUAAAAAAGAAUUUAAUUUAAAAAUUAAAAGAAAAAAACACAAAUAAAAAGUAACUUAAAAAGAAAAGAAAAGAUAUUCAAAAAAUAACUUUGUAAUUACAUCAUGUAAUUAUCAGUAAAUUUCAGCUCCCUCUUGAAAAUUCUAGAGUGCAAUUACACCCAAUUACAUGCUGACUAGGUAAUUACUUAGUUGACAAACAUGUCAAAAUUGUGUAACCCAAUUACACUCAAAUUCAAUUAAAGGGUGACUUCCCAAACAUGCUAUUAAAAUUAGAGUCGUGUGAUUAAAAAUGAAGGGAUACUUACUUUUAUAGUCAGAGACAUUUUACAUCUGUUUUAUAUGUUUUCUCCAUAAGUAAAACAAAUAUAUUUAUACAAUUUAGAUGGCCAAAUUAAUUUUCACUAUGAUUUGUAAAGUUUUUAUAUUUUUAACUUUAGUUUUCUUCAGGUUAUGGUACUUUUUACUUGGUCGAUAUUAUUAUAAAUUUAUAAAGAAAUACUGAAUAACUUAAGUCACUGAAAUUUAUAUUUUGACCCAUGCCGAGCACAUUGUGCUAACUAUUUCACUUGAUAAAUAACAAAUAUAAUUUAAACUCAUAAAUACUUUUCCCAUUUUACUAUUUAUUGUUUAUCUUUAUAACAAAAAAAAAGGAAAGAUUGUAGAGUUCACUAUAGAUGAGACUUGAGUUUUUUCCAAUGAAUUUUUCCUUUGUUGCACAAGGAUUUUAUCGUAAAAGUGUUUCAUUUAGCUUAUACGGCAAAAUUCGACACUAGUAAUCUCACUUUCAACUCUCAACAAAAAGGUCUACUUUUACCCAGAAGGUAACUAAUCACUUGACUCAACAUGCAUUCAAAUUAUUGUAAACACAAAGUUACGUAUACAUUUCUCAUCAAAAAGUAAACAAAAACAAAUGCCCCUUCACAAUCAAUAUUGCAUCACUAGAUAUAGGUUUCUUUCCCUGCCAUAGGAUUGUUGCAGCUUCCCUCAAGCCACAGGCAUGACCUGCAUUUCACUGGUUCUUGUUCAAGCUAUGACGUCCACAUAUGGAAACUCAAAACACUAUCGACUAAGGUACUCGUCUAGAGUCCCCUAAUUUUCAUCAUCAUCGUCGUGUAACAUUAUUAACGAAGGUUUGUUUCUGAGACUCGCAUGUCUGAAACACUCUCAAAACUUGAAUUUGACCUCAUACUAUACUCUGCCACGAGCUUAGCAAACAAUGAGGAUUCAUUCUCUAACAACCUGGCUGGAGUGUCGUAUUCAGCAAUGAGGCCUGCAGCAUAGCAUAAAAAAAAGGUAAAUACCAAGAAUUUCCUUCUCCGCUUGCUCCAGAACAUAAACAAUGAUUCUUACCAUGAUCUAAUAGUAGGACCAUAUCACUGUCAAGCACAGAUGUAAUCCUAUGAGCAAUGGUUAUAACCGUGGAAUCAGAGAAGUGCAGCCUUAGAGUUUGCUGAAUAAGAUUAUCAGUUGCAGUGUCGACAGAUGCUGUAGCCUCGUCAAGGACCAGGACCUUGCUCUUUUUCAGUAGCACACGGCCAAGACAGACCAGCUGCCUUUGGCCUACACUCCAAUUCUCUCCAUUCUCAGAUACUGCAGUGAUACAAAGAAGAUAAUUAUUACAGCUCCAAAAGUGGAAAUCAUCAGAAAAUGAUGUGGUUCUUGAAGUUACCUGUAGAAUAAAGUUUGCCUUCCUUCUUCCUCACUUCUUCUCCUAGCUGACACUUAUCGAGCGCCUGAAACAUAAGAUGAAACAAAGUUUCUCAAUAAAAUAAGUGUUUUCAUUUUCCUAUGUGAAACAAAAUAAAUCUAGAAAUAAGCAAAACCAAGCUGUCACCUCCCAAAUUUGUUCAUCUGAAUACUCUUCAAGCGGGUCUAGGUUGCUGCGAACUGUCCCCUCAAACAUAGUUGGAUCCUGUGGAAUUAUACUCAAUCUAGACCGUAGAUCAUGCAGACCAAUUGAGGAGAUGCUGGUAGCAUCUAUUUUAAUUUGUCCAGCAGCUGGUUCAACUAUGCGGAAGAGGGUCUGUAUUAGAGUAGAUUUACCACUGCCUGUCCUACCGACAAUUCCAGUCUUCUUUCCACCAAAGAACGUGCAUGUAAGGCCUCGCAACACGAGAGGCAUGUGAGGAGCAUAUCGGACCUAUUAAAAGUUUUCAGAUAUAUCAACCCAUACCAACAAAUUAACCUGCAUAAUUAACACCAGAGAAUAACUUAAUUUACCUGAAGAUUGCUAAAAUCAACCUCUCCACAAGAUGGCCAGUUAGGGUCUGGUCUGUUGGAUUUUAUGAUAAGAGGAGGUUCACUUGGAAGAGCAGUAUACUGAAGUAUUCUUUCAACAGAAAUAAUUUUAUUUUCCAUCAUACAAAGAUUCCAAACAACCCGAGCUUGUAUUAUGUUCAGAUUAAGCCCAUAUGUAACAGCUAAGCCAGCAACACCUGUAAAUCAAGAAAUGGAGAAAAUAUGCUAUUAAGAGUUAUUCAACACAAUAAACUUCAAGGAAAGAAAACAUGAAGAUAGAGAACUUACUUGGGUCAAUUGUUCCAACAGGAAGAGAGAUCAAGAAAAUCAAAGAGAAAGCAAAAGUGAUCAGAUAACAUAUCCAAACGCAUACAAAGCCACUCCAUUGCAGCAGCAAUGUGAAACUUAGGCCGAGAAUAAUUGUCUAUCAAUCUCAUACUUGUGUCCUGGAAUCUAGAUUCCUGAUCGAAACUUCUAAUUGUGCUUGAUCCUGAAAUUGUCUCGGCAAAGUGCUGUAUUACUGGAGCUUUGCAUGUCCCAUUUAGCCGUGCCAGUUCUCGUGCUGAUGGUAUGUAAUAUUGCUGCAAUGAAAACAAACUCACCACUUAAAUGUAACUCACGUUUGUGAAUGUCGCUAAAGUUAUGACUCACUUUGUGAAAAAAGCAUAUAGUAGAAUUAUUGUGAAGGCAAAGAACACGAAAAAAGGUGGUCGUAGCAACCUCCAACCAAAUGCAAACUGCAAUGACUGGAAUAAAGACAAUGAAGACCUGCCAUGCAACUUGUGACAUUACUCCAAUAAUCCCUAAAAGCUGUAUUAUUGUGAAGGCAAAGGAUCCAACUUGAAUGGGAACAUUCAGAUCAACUGCACUUUGAUCUGUCGAUGCCUGCUUUCAUACCAAAGUACAUUUGAGUUAAUUCUGAAAUUACUAGUUAAUUUUCACAAAACAUUGAUUAGACAUGUAACAGAAAGAUUGACACAAAUAAGGAAAAAAAUAAGGGGUAAAUAAAGAAAAUGUAAUCAUUCACUUACUCUGUUUAGAAUCCGCCCACUCGGUGUGGCAUCGAAGAAGGACAUUGGAGCACGGAAAAUGCAAAGAUGCAUUUUAUGGAAAAGCAAAGAGGCUGUCUUAUAUCCAGCGGUAACAAGAAGCAUGGUUCUAGCAAGGAUGCAUAAAGCACUUGCAAUUCCUAAAGCAACAUAUACAAUGAUGAGAGUAGAACUCCCAACAGGAGGUGGCUCACUCUUUGAGACGGGAGUUGCCCACGCCAUCCAAUAAUUGCUUCCAAUUUGAAGGAGCUGAAAACCAACUUGUGCCAACAGCAUAAAUGGCACGAGAGCACCUCCAUAUGCAGUUGUUAUAUAUUUCCAGUAAACUGAAAAACCAACACUACCUUUCUCUCUUUCCUCCUCCUGAACAAUUUGUCCCUUUGUUCCAACAAUAUCAUCCACUUUACCAUUUUGGCCCUCUGAAAUAUUUUUAUCCUUCUGCACAUUUGUAUUAUCACCAGUCAUUUCCUCACUCUUUCUCAAUGCUUCUCCCUUAACUGUGUCAAUUGCUGUUAAAGCUUCUUGGUGAGCACCCACAAGUUCCAUGAAGUCACUACCUAAUUUGAGAAUAUCAUUGUAUUUCCCAGCUUCACUUAUCCUUCCAUCUUUCAUGACCUGAAGAGAAAAAUCAUAGUCAAAUGAGUUAAGUUUAUAUAUGAUAUUAAGCAAACAAUAAUUACUGAAAGGAAAGAGUACCAAGAUCAAAUCCGCAGCAGGCAAAAACUCCACUUGAUGUGUAACAUAUAAAACAGUUUUUGAAUUCAAUAGCCCCAUUAUACACUCCUGCAAUUAAAGGAUGGGUCAAUCAAGUGGCUAGGUAAAAUAUACUUAUCAAGCAUGAAAAUAAAGCAUAUAUAUGAAAUGACUUACAUUGAAGAGAUGGGAUCCGGUAUGAGCAUCUACAGCACUGAACGGAUCAUCAAAUAGGUAAACAUCAGCAUCUUGGUAAAGAGCACGAGCAAUCUGUAUUCUCUGCUUCUGUCCACCGCUCAAAUUAAUGCCCCGCUCCCCUAUUUCUGUUUGAUCGCCAAAAGAGAGAAUUUCCAGGUCUUUCUUUAAGGAGCACGCUUCAAGAACUUUAUCAUACUUCUCCCUCUGCAUCUCUUUACCAAAUAAUAUGUUCUCCUCUAUCUUUCCACUCUGUAUCCAGGGCGACUGUGCAACAUAAGCUUUCGUUCCACUGAGUUUAAUAGUCCCUGAUAAUUUGGGCAUCUCUCCUAAAAUGUGACUGUGCAACAUAAGCUUUCAUUCCGCUGAGUUUAAUAGUCCCUGAUAAUUUGGACAUCUCUCCUAAAAUGCUAGACAGUAAGCUUGAUUUUCCUGAACCAACUGUACCACAAAUGGCAACUCUCAUGCCAUUAAGCACUCUAAGAUUUACAUCCUUUAGAAGUGGAGUCGAGGUGGAUGCAUCCCAAGCGAAGUUCCCACCUACAAUCUCAAUUGCUUCAUCAGAACUACCUUUUGGAAGCUUCUCUAUAACAUCAGGCUGCAAGUCAUCAAGAGAAAGGAAAGAUGCAAUACGAUCAAGAGAAACUUUGGUUUGAGCAAUCAUUGAAA